rnacentral:lncRNA from 1 species
UUUAUGUAAGUUAUUGCAAAAGCAGUGUAUAUUAACUUUUAUGAUUUUAAAUAAUAUUAUGGUAUAUAGUGAUUAUGUAUGAGUUAUAGAUGAUAUUCUUGUUGUAUGUUUUUGAUAAUUAGUAAUCUAUGAUUGGUUGGUCAAUUGUGGGUUGCUAUAAUUAUUUUAAAGAUUCAACUUACACAAAGUUCCUUAACCAAUUUUUUCCCAAUAAUAUGAAAAAAUUAUGCUGAUAUUGAAUGUUAAAAAGAAUUUACAGAACAUGGCAAGAAGCAGGUGAAACGAUGCUAAAUCAUUAUUCUAGAAGUUGUCGUUAUAGACAAACAUGGUAUCCUCAUAGUUACAUGACUUUUUAGAGCAUCUCUAAUCUACUGGUUUUUUUUUAUUUCUAUAAUAGCAAUUAGAGGUCAAAUUGCUUCAACCCAUCUCUAUCAGUUCUUCUAUAGAGACUGCUAUUUAUUUUCUAAAUAACAUUACUACUAUUUUGUUAUUAUAUAUUUAAAGCUUGCUAAUUUAGAGGAAUACAUUAGAGCAUAUUACACAUUAUAUAGAGUUUCUCAAUUUUAGAAGUAGAAAUAGUAAAAUACUUUGAAGAUGGUCUUCUUUUAUUUUUAUGUUUCCUGGUUAAAAUUAUCUGAUGUUAGAAUUUUCAACAAUUAGUUAAAUCUCAUAAUUUAGUGGUUGAGAUAAUUUUAAACCGGAUGUAAUCUUCUUUAUUUUGGUAAUAUAUAUAUAUAUAUAUAUAUACAUUGACUUGUUUGUUUUAUUUUCUAUUAUUUACUUUCAUUUAUACUUUCAUAUCUUGUCAGUUUAUUGCGUUUUUCAUCCGUAUUUUGAAAAUAUAUACAUUUUAUUUGUAUAUCAGAAGUAAAUUUACACUUAUUUUUGGAAGUCAUGACAUAGAUGCAUUUAUUUCCAUACAAUAUCAUUUAUCUUUUAUUAUAUUAUGAACUUUUUUCAUUUAUGCUCUUAUGCGUAAUUUGUUAUUAGUUAUUACCUUGUUAUAUUCUCUUUCUCAAUUACUUUUUAAAUAUUUUUAAAAUUAUUUAUUAAUCUUUUGUUGUGCAUCUUAGAUAUUUUGUCAGUGUCUUGUAACUGGAGUCUAAUAUUCAAAAUAUGUCAACAAUUAUUAGAUUCAUUUUUUUUUGGAUUUUUCUUGACUUUGCUUUAAUGAAACGUGAAAGAAAUAUUGUUAAUGGAUUCCCAUAAAAUGCAAUUUUAUGAAUUUUUUUAAAAAUAUUUUGAAAUUAAAUAUUUUUAUUCUGUUUUGUAUUUUUGGUUAUGUUAUGUAGUUCACUAAAUUAUAGAUGGUCAUUUUCUAUAUAUCUUUCUUUUCAUUUAUCUUUUUUUUUAAAAAUUAUGAUUUGAUUAUUUAUUAAAUAUUUUGUUAAUUGUUAACGGUUGAAGAACAUAUAUAUUAUUUCCUCAUAAAAAAUCAAAACGCCAAUAUAAAAUUGAUGUCUUGAAUGUUUUGGUGUAAGUGAAAUAAUACAAUUGAAUGGUAAAGAAGCGAUAUUGUCAAAUCUUCUAAAUCCCUCAGAAGGUGUUGUGUUAUGUAUUCACGUUGUAUCUUCUUUGUAUACAUCCGUUGAACUUUCACCAACUUUAAGUAUUUCAACAAAUCUAGCUUCUAAAUCACCGAAGAGGCUUUUGGAAGAGUAGCUCAUCUCUUUUCCGGAAUAAUGUAAGAACCAGAACAAAAUUUAGCUCAUGAGUUUAGACACUAUAUGACUAUAUCGGUCCAAGAAUCGUCGCCAUUUGUUGUUCGAUCACGAUAACCGAUUACGCACGCCAAUUGGUUGACAUAGUCUCUUAACCAAAUGUUUAUGUUUGGAAUGGUAUGUUUAAUGAGUUCACGACAUACAACUUGUCUAAGGAAGUUUUUCUGCUGUUCAAGAGGAUGAGAAGCAUGGACGUGAUGCCAAUUGUCUUACUCUCCCGGUGGUUUUUUUUUUUUUGUUAAACCUCUCCAGGUGGUCUUAUAUGCUUAUGUGAUGGUUAAAGAUCUAAGACAGUUGGCAGCUUUCUGAAGUGUUGCAUUCUAUAAAAUAGCUUAACAAACAUAACCAUUCCUUUUGUUUUUUCACUAAUAUCAAAUCGCAGAAUAUUGUUUCCCUCCCACAAUUCUUAUUGUCUUAUGACCGUCAUCCAAUUUUUUCUAUACAUAAUAAUAUAAUUUUCAGAUAUUGGUGUCUCUCUUAAACCAUUCAAAAUCUCUUCUAUCAAAAACUCAGUUUACUUGUAAAGUUAAUUUUUUUUAAGAAUGCGUAAAUUUUUUAUAGUUUUUAAAAUAAUCGAACUUAAAAUCAGCCAUACAACUCAAACACAUCAUUGGCCGAUCUUUUGUACGCAAAGCAAACUUGCCUAAGGGGAUGUGAGUUGUGAUGGCUACAGCUAAUAAUCUAAUAUUCUUAGACACAUUGCCCAAAUUACUGGACCAUCCUUCAUUGCUACCGAAUUUAUUUACACAUGCCACUCAGAAACUUGUCUUUGCUGAUUGAGAAGAUCACAUACAAAACAAAUUAAUGAACCUGUAAAACUUAAAUAAUAAUAAUCAUUCACUAAUAUAAUUAAAGAGGAAAAAAAGAAACUUGGUUAAAGAUUUAAUUGAGCAGAAAAUCUCUAAUCUUCUAGAAAACAAAAAAUAUCUAAGAUCUUUCAUUGCAAAACAGAAACCAUCACAGCAAUGUCUCUGAGCAUCUCUAUGUCCGAUACUUAUAGAUCACGCCCACAAAAUUGAAGUGGGAAAAGGGAUCUAAAUGAGGACCAAAAGACUCUUCAAAAACUCUUUGUUCUCAUAGAGUUUUGGUAUUACAUUACAUUAUUUUCUUGCCAAAGAGUGUUAGUGUUGAGAGAAAAUAAAAAAACAAAAUCAAAACCCAAACGAGCCACUAAAACGACAAUGAGCUUCACUGCUUCUUUCAUCUCUUCUUGGGGUCUCCGUCCCUCGUCCCGCUCCAUGAUCUUCCUCCUUCCUUGGAAACAAAGUCUUGAAACCAACAACCGUCACUCGGCGGCAAUUGUUCGCAUCCUGUAGUCCGUCUGCAAAAGCAGCUGCGUGGUGGGAGACAGCCAUCACAUUGCGUCCCAAACAGCUCCCACAUCUGUGUCUGAACUCUGAAGCUGUCUCCAGCUUCUAUGCUGCCAUUAACGUCCACGGCUAGGCCUACGUGUCAGACCUCAUCACUCAAAACUGCAGCUACAAAGAUCUCGUCCUCUCAUCACUCUAGAAUAUAGAUAAACAUAGAAUGUAUAUAUGAAAACAGGUUUACAAAAUAUUUGAACCGUUUGUAAUUUUAAAUUGGUUUACACCAUUAAACAAAAUUAAAAAAAAAAAACUAAAAAUACAAAACUAAACCUAAUCUAGAGGCCGCCGUCUUCUUGUUGAACUCUCCACCGCUGGCAAACUUGGGCGUCCUACCUCCUCCUCCGCCUUUUCAUCCAGCCUCUUCUGCCGUCUGUUCGUCCAGCUUCCUCCACCUCGCUUCCUCCACCUCGUGAAGCUUCUUCUCCGUCCUCCUCCAUCAAGCUUCUCUGCCUCCUCCAACUUUUUUUACCAAGACAAAAACAAAUUGAAAUCAAAACUCACAGAGAGAGAGAGAGAGAGAGAGAGAGAGAGAGAGAGAGAGAGAGAGAGAAACAUAGAAUGUAUAUGAUAGAGUUACAGAACCAAACCAACACGUCUCAAACCAAACCAAGUUUCCAAACCGAAAUACACUACGUAAUUGAUUACGUAGUAUCUUAAUUUUUUCUUUUCUGCAUUUUGUUUUAGUUGAUAAUAAGGAGAGAAUAGGUCUUUCUUGUAUAUAGGAAACCAUCUUCUCCACUUUCCCUUAAUUCCCAUGUUGAAAGGAGUUUACGACUCCACUUUCUUUCUGUAUCUUCUCUAUUUAAAUGAAUGAAAAAGCCAAAAAGAGGCAAUCUUAAUUGCCCAAAGUAAAGUUUUAUUGUUCUCAGUUUGUUCUAAAGCUUUGAAGAAGUUCAUAGCUAUCAGUAUAUAUUAAAACAGGUUUACAAAAUAUUUGAACCGGUUUGUAAUUUUAAAUUGGUUUAUACCAUUAAACAAAAUUAAAAAAAAAACUAAAAAUACAAAACUAAACCUAAUCUACAGGCCGCCGUUUUCUUGUUGAACUCUCCACUGCUGGCAAACUUGAACGUCCUGCCUCCUCCGCCUCUUCCGCCGUCUGUUCGUCCAGCUUCCUCCACCUCGUGAAGCUUCUUCUCCGUCCUCCUCCAUCAAGCUUCUCUGCCUCCUCCAACUUUCUUUACCAAGACAAAAACAAAUCGAAAUCAAAACUCAGACAGAGAGAGAGAGAGAGAGAGAGAGAGAGAGAGAUCCGGGCAGGAUAACACGCAAAAUCACACAAAGCCGAAUCACACAAACCAUGAUAGUAAUUGAUACGGUGCAUUUAGAAAAUUGGACACGCUAGAAAGAGCGAUUUAUCUGGGUGGAUGAUGACGUGGCGCGUCCAGUAGAGAAUAAAUUGUACUUUACAAUUAUAGACUAGAAUUUCAAUUCGCGCUAUGCGUGAGCUUAUAUUAAUAAUUAGUUUUAUUUUAUAAAUAAAUUUAAAAUAAAAAUAUAUAAAUGAUAUAUAUGCAUUUUCUAUAAAAUUGUAUUCAAAGUAUUCUUUACUAUUUCUCAUAUUUAAGUUCUGAUAAAAUUAAAACAUUUAAAUAACAAACAUUCAGACCUAUUUGUUUGUAUAUGUAAAUGUAUAUGUGUAUUUAUAAAUGUAUUAUAUUGUUUAUUAAUCAUGUUUUAAGAAAAUAUAAAGAUUUUCAAUGCGCUUUAAUUAAUACUACACUGUUAUAAAUAUUUUAAUUAUAGUUUUAUCUAUUUUCUAUUUGAUUGACAGAAAAGAUUGAUUCAUAUGACCAAAUUUUACAAUGAAAUUAUGAUUAUUAUUUACUUAUUGUGUGCAUAUAUGUAUUUGAAAUACUAUUAUUUAGUUAUUUUAAAUGCAUAUCAAAUAGUAUAAUAUCUAGAUUUACCUCUUAAUCAUAAUAAAUAUUUUGAUGAAAUUUAAAUAAUAUUGAAUAUUUUGGUUAGAUAUAAGAAAAUAGGAAAUAUAUAUAUAGAAUUUUAAACUAACAUUAUGGAAUAUUUUCUUUAUUAAAAUAAAAUAUAAAAUAUUAGAUAUAUAUAUAUAUAUAUAUUCAACUUGAUCUAGUUACAUUAUAUAUUAUGCCAUGAGUAUUAUGUUUAGUUAAUUCAAAGAUACUUUUUUCUAAUUGUUAGAAGUUGGUCAAAAUUUCAUUUUCAAGUUUAUCGAUUGAUAUUCUUAGAUAAUAUAUCUCAAUAUAUUUCUUUUUUUUGUUGUUGUUGAGAUUAUACUUUAAUGUCAAUAUGUAAAAGUUAAUAGAUAUUUCAACUAAUUUAUUUGCAGCCUACUUAGAAUUUGUUGUUUUCGUAUAUUUUAUUAGAAUUGUUCAUCAAAUAUCUUUUUUUAAUGGAACUCAUGUGAGAUCAUUUUUAAUUUUUAAUUUUAUAUGUUAUGUAGAUUGCUUUAAUAAAGUUUUAUAAGCAUGGAUCCUAUAAUUUUUAUUGGUGAAUUUGAUUAAAGAGUUAUGAAGAGUCAUAAUGUAAUUUGGUUUCUUGUGGAUAACUUUAUUUAAAAAACAAAUCUUGUAGAUUAUAACAUUUUUAAGGUCUGUUUCAUAAAAGCCCAUUUGAUUAGUUUACUGAUUAUUUGAAUUACAAUUUUUUAAAAAGCUUGUGUCAAAACAUAAUAUAGUACUGUUAUUAAAAUUUUAAAUGUCGAUGAGUAACUAUAUUUCAUUUUAUCGAUAAAAAUAGUCUGAAAACAAAUUAAAACGGUUUAAUUAAUAAUAUGUGUUUUACACAAGUGGAGUACUUUUGCCUUUAUUAUUAAUAAAAUUUUUAAACUUAUUGCAAACCAUCUAAUUUCAGUUUAAUCAUAUAUUUUAUUUUAAUGUAUAAACUAUUUGUAUAUCUUUACGUACUUUAAUAUAAAGUUUAUCAAUUUUGUUGAUUUGAAUUUUAAAAGGUGUUAGCAUACAAAAAUUAAGUUAGUUAAUUUUUUUUUCUUUUGUUUAUCCUAAUUAAUAUUUUUAAAUUUUUAUUUUCAUAUAUUUUUUUUAGAAGUGGUAAACUAAACUGUUAUGAUGAUUUGGCAUAUUUUGUUGGAAUUUUGAAAUUAUAUAUAAAUAUUUUUAACAGCAUAUAGGUAAAAAAGUAGUGGACAUAAUUUUAUUUUUUAUUUUUAAACUCUUUUGUUUUAUGUUAAGUUUUAAGUAAGUUAGUAUCAAUAGCAAUCUAACUUUUAAGAUAUUUUCUUACAUUUUCAAUUUAUAUUUUUAAUAAAAUUUUAUUUUAUUUUUACAUAAAUGAUUAUUUUUUUAAUUUGAUUUCUUCUAAUAGUUUUAUUCUUUUUGUUAGUUAAAAUUUUAUAUUUAAUUUUCAAAUAUUUAGUUUAUGUAUGAACUGAAUUAUUUUUAAUAAAACUCAUUUUCUUUGGUACCUUAUUUUAUUUUCAUUUGAAGUUAGUGAAAUAAAGUUUUGAAACCGAAAUUUUGAAUAUCAAAUUAAGAUGCUGAUUUGUUAUAUUCAAAUGACAUUUGUAAAUUCUAUGUGAACACUUUAAGAUUAAAUAACAUAUAGCCUAAAUUUUGAAAUCACAUGUACUUUAUAUUCCUUUUUUAUUAUUUCAAUUCUUAUAUUCUUUAAGGUUUACUUUUUUGUUAGUUAAAUUUAUAUUAACUUUCCAAAGAUUUAGUUUAUAUAUAAAAUUGAUAAUUUUUAUGAGUUUGCCUCUUUUUUUGAGUUAAUAUAUUAUUUUUUUUUAUUUCGAAAGUAAUAGUUUUUGAAAAUCUUGAAAAUUUUUAAAAUAAUAAAUAAAAUGAUGAUUUGGCAUAUUUUUCUUGGUGUUUUAAGAUAAUAUGGAAACAUUCUCAAUGAUUUAUAGCAUCAACUUAUGUAUAAUAUAUGUUAUAUUGAAUAUUUACAAUAGCAUAUAACCCAAACUUUUAAAAUCACGUGAUUUAAAAAUCCUUGCAUUUAAAUCACAAUAUAUAUGUUAUAUUGAAUAUCUAGUUUUAAAAAUCCUUGCAUUUAAAUUAAUUAUUAUUUUUGUUAGUUAUUUUUAUGUUAAUUUUCUAAAAUAUAUUAUAUUUUAAGUUAGCUUAUAUAUGAUGUUUUACUUUUGUAAAUUUACCUUAUUUUAUAUUGGUUUAUAUUAUAUUUAGAAAUUUAAAUUUUGGUAUUAUUAACAUUUUUAUGGAUAGAUAAUAAAGAUUUUGAUGUGUUAUAUUGUGAUUAGUGGUUUUAAAUCCUAUGUAUACACAUUCUAAAUAAAUAAUUAAAUAAAGUACAAUUUAAAAUAUAUUUAUUCUUCUAGUAUCAUAUUUAAUAACGAAAAUAAAUAUGCCAUAUUGUGAUUGUGUAAAUAUCUCUUUUUUACUAUCUCUCUUUGUCAAAGUAAAUCUUGAAAAUUCAAAGAUAUUUGACAACUAUUUAUACUCACCCUAAUACUUCAUAUAUUAGAAAGUUUCUUAUUUUAUAUAUUAAGUGAAUUCCCCAUUUUAGAUGUUUUAAUUUUGUUAUUUUAACUUCUUUAACAUCAAAUUUCCUAUUUUGUAAUUUAAAGGAUAUUAGAAAAUUCCUUUUUAUACAUUGUGAAUUGUUUAGAUGAUUUUCUGUUACUAUUACUAUUUUAACAUUAGAUUACUAUUUAUUAUACCUAAGAAAACAAUAAUGUUUUGUUAAUAUUACGAUUUUACUUUUGAUUCUCCAUUUUGCCAUAACAAUUAACAUUUUAAAGCAAAUUGUAAAAUGUUAAUAUUUAUUCUGUUAGUUUAAGUUAUAUAUAGAAUAUUAAUUUUGUUUUUAAUAUAAUUUUGUAAAUGUUAAUAUUUUUUUUAUAAAUUAUAAACUAAUAUAAUGAUGUGUCAUAGUAUGACUAUUUUUUUUUUUUAAAUCUAAUAUGGACGCUCUCAAAAAUUUAUAGCCUUUUAAUUUUGGUUUUUCAUUUUUCUAUAACAAUUAACAUUUUAAAGCAAGCUGUAAAAUCUUAAUAUUUAUUUUGUUAGUUUAAUUAUAUAUGGAAUAUUAAUUUCGUUUUUAAUAUAAUUACAAAAAUAUUAAUAUUUUCUAUAAAUAAUAAACUAAUAUAAUGACGUGUCAUAAUAUGGUUGUUCUUAUUUUAUAUAUUAAGUGAAUUUCCCAUUUUAGAUGUUUUAAUUUUUGUUAUUUUAACUUCUUUAACAUUAAAUUUCCUAUUUUGUAAUUUAAAGGAUAUUAGAAAAUUCCUUUUUAUACAUUGUGAAUUGUUUAGAUGAUUUUCUGUUACUAUUUCUACUUUAACAUUAGAUCACUAUUUUAUUUUUGUAUAAAAUAUAUUUUACGUUUAUAAUACCUAUCAAAACAAUAAUGUUUUGUUAAUAUUACAAUUUUACUUUUGAUUCUCCAUUUUACUAUAACAAUUAACAUUUUAAAGCAAAUUGUAAAAUGUUAAUAUUUAUUUUGUUAGUUUAAGUUAUAUAAAGAAUAAUAAUUUCGUUUUUAUAAUUUGUAUAUAUUAAUAUUUUUUAUAAAUAAUAAACUAAUAUAAUGAUGUGUCAUAAUAUAUCUGGUUGUUUUAAAUCUUAUGUGGACGCUCUCAAUGAGUUAUAACCUUUUUAAUUUUGAUUUUUCAUUUUUCUAUAACAAUUAACAUUUUAAAGCAAGUUGUAAAAUGUUAAUAUUUAUUUUUUUAGUUUAAGUUAUAUAUGGAAUAUUAAUUUCGUUUUUAAUAUAAUUAUGAAAUAUUAAUAUUUUCUAUAAAUAAUAAAUUAAUAUAAUGAUUUGUCAUAAUAUGAUUGGUGGUUUUAAAUCCUACGUGGACGCUCUCGAUGGCUUAUAUCCUCAACUUUUAUAUAGUAUAGAUUUUAAUGUAAGCGAAAUAAAUUGUAUGAUACAAAUAUAUGUAUUCCAUGUGGCCAUAAGCUCUGUUAAAAUUAUUUAAUUAGUUGACUACAAAUAAACGGUCUUUGUCCUUUAUACAGUUAUUAUUUACCUUAAAGAAAUUACUAUUUUAAUAUAAUUAAUUAUAAUGUAAUAUUUAUAAAAUACAACAAACACAUAUUUACUUUCUCUUUUCAAUAGUGGUAUAUAUUUUUCAGAUGGAAUUCUUUAUUUUAUUUAAGAACACCAACUUAAAGAACAAUUGUUUUUCUUAUACAUUCCGGUUUUACUCUGGAUGAACUUAAGUUGUAAAAAUAGUACUUCCUCCGUUCGGUUAUAAAUGUCGUUUCACAGCUUUUUUUUGUGUCAAAAUAUGACGUUUACGAAAUUCCAUGCAAAAACUAACAAGAAAAGACCUUUUCUACCCUUACAAUUAUUAACAUCAUUUCACUUGCAUAGACGUGACUAUUAACGAGUGCAUCAUCUACUUCUUCGUUAUCGAGUGUAUCUACUUCUUCAUCCGUUGGUGUUUGAUUAAGAUAAAAAAACUCAUUUUCAUUGGCUAUGUAUGGAAGAUUCAAAUCAAAGUUAGAAUCCAUGAGAGGUUGUGAUUCAUUCGAUUGUUUCUGUCAAUAUAUAGCAUAGUCAAUUUUUUUUGUUUGGCUCCAAUAUCAGUUUAAAAAUUCUAGUUUCAGCUCUGUGCUUGAAUUUUUUUGUAGAAUUUUAACACUGAAAUCUUCUUUGUUCGUGCAUUACUUCAUUUUCAGUUCAACAACACAUAUUUGACUAAAAGAAUUAAUUGAGCAUUUAUAGGUUUUUGUAUGUGAAACUGUUAUGUUAUUAAUUAAUAGGUCAUGACUAAGAAAAGUUGGGAGCAACAUCCUUUUGACUGAAUAAUGAUCACUAAUAAUAAUGAUAUGAAAUAAAUUAAAUAUGAAACACUAAUGAAAAAGGCUAAAAAUGGUAUUACAUUAGCUUUCUUAAUUGAUGUGCAAUGUUGUAGAACGACACUUAUAGCCGAACAGAGGGAGUAUUAAGAGGGAUUUGCCAAAAGUGACUCAAAACUUGAUUUUGAAUACAAAAGUGUACCUCAAAUUCAAUCAAAUGCAAAAGUAACCCAAAAGUCUAGUGAAAUUACAACAACCCCCUUAUGAACAAACAAAAAACAUGUAUUCAGUUUUACCAUUAUAACCCUCCGUUAGAGAAGACUUCUUUGUAAGUCUUCUCGUUCAGUAGAUCUUAAAAAUAAUUUUAUAAUUUUAUAAAAAAUAUUUUGAUGGGUAAAAAAUUGAAAUCAUGUAAUAAUAAACAUUUAUCAUUGAUGUAAAUUUAGUUCAUAUGAAAUUGAAUUAUUUUCAACAUAGAUGAGUGAAUGUAUAUUGGCUCAUGAGUCAUUGGUUUAGAGUUUGGUAACAUAUGUAAUAGUAUUGUAUGUAUCUUUAGGGUUAGAUUCUGAAAUCUUACCUUUAUUUUUUUUUUCUUUCAAAUUGACCCAUAUAUGUUUAGUAACUAUCUAAUAACUUGAUUUAAACACUUUCAAAGUUUCUUUUAAGUUUAACAAAGUGUUUUUUGCAUGGUUAAUUGAUUUUAGGGUCUGGAAGACUUACAUCAGACUUAAAAAUAAGUUUUCCGACACAUCCCGCCUAAAUUUUAGUAGAAUUUAGGGUUCCCACCUAAAUUUUUGAAAAAUUUAGAUUUCCCGCCUAAAUCAAAAGUCUUCCAGAGGAAGACUUCUCAUGGAUUAGAUCUUAAAAAUAAUUAAUAAAUUUUAUAAAAAAUAUUUUCUAAGGGAAAAAGUCAAAAUCAUGUAUUAAUAAACAUUUCUAAAAGAUGAAAAUUAGUUUUACUCAAAUUGAAUUAUUUUUAACAUAGAUGAGUGAAUGUAGAUUGAGUCAUGAUAGUCUUCGGUUUAGGGUAUGGUAACAUAUGUUGUAGUAUUGUUAGGGUUAGAUUUUGAAAUCUCAUCUUUUUUUUUUAAUUUGACCUAUAUGUGAUUAGUGACUAUCUAAUAACUUGAUUUAAAUAUUUUCUAAUAUCUUAAAAGUUUAAGAAAAUGUUUUUUUCUCAGUUAUUUGAUUAUAGGGUCUGGAAGACUCACAAAAGACUUCCCAAGAAGUCUUCUGACAUAUCCCGCCUAAAUUUUAGUAGAAUUUAGGGUUCCCGCCUAAAUUUAGAAAAAAAUAGGUUUCCUGCCUAAAUCGAAGUCUUCCAGAAGUCUUCCCGAAAGUUUUCUCCUGUAUUAGAUCUUAAAAAUAAUUAAUAAAUUUAAUAAAAAAUAUUUUGAAAGAGAAAAAUAGAAAUCAUGUAUUAAUAAACAUUUAAAAACUAUGAAAAUUUAGUUUUACUAAAUUUGAAUUAUUUUUAACAUAGAUGAGUGAAUGUAGGAUCUAGAAAACUUCCAAAGAAGUCUUAUAUAUCGAAAAUAUUAAACCUAACUGAAAUUUUUGUCUCCAUAUAUAAAUAAAAUUUACACAUUCUCUUUCUUUCUAUCAAAUGACUGCAACAAAAAUUUAAUGUUUCUCACUCUAAAACUCUCCAACCUCUCUCUAAUCUCCUUGAACAUCAAAACACCAAAUUUAAAUCCUUUUCUCAUUUUUUUCUUAUGUAUUCUCACAAUUUAUCUUCUUUUUAAAGGUUUUUCAUUACAUGGUUCUCAUCUUUCACUCAUUCAAAGGUAUAUCUAUAAAUGUUGGAUAUGCAUUAUUGUGUGUUUUAUAUAUUAUAUUCUAAAAAGCUAUUGAUUCAAGACUGUUUUGUUUAUUAUUUAUGCAUUAAAAUUAUAUUUUUGAAGUUUUUAUCUGUUUUGAAGUCAUUUGAAUGUUUUUGAAUUUGCAGGUUUUUCAGAUCUGAGACUGACGUUGAAAGACUUCUCAGAAGACUCUCGGAAGACUUCUAGACAAGUCUUCUAAUGCAUUUUAUGCCAGGAAGUUAUCUGUCCAAAGUGGUACAAAUUUUGGAUAUCUAUUUUUUGUGUUUUAUAUAUUGGAUUCUAAAAAGUUAUAAAUUCAACCUAAUGUGACAGUUUUUUUGUUUAUUAUUAAGCAUAAAAAAAUGUUUUUGAAGUUUUCUCUGUUUUGAAGCUAUUUGAAUGCUUUUGAAUAUGCAAAAUUUUCAGAUCUAAAUCAGACUUUGGAGGACUUCUCAGAAGACUCUUGGAAGACUUCUUGGGAAGCCUUCUAAUGCAUUUUAUGCUAGAAGACGUCCCACGAAGUCUUCAGGAAGUCUUCCAAAGUUUUCUACUCAAAGUUAUACAAAUUUUGGAUAUGUAUUGUGUGUUUUAUAUAUUAGAUUCUAAAAAAUUAUAGAUUCAACCUAAUUUGAUUGUUUUAUUUAUUAUUUAAGCAUAAAAAAUUAUUUUUGAAGAUUUCUCUAUUUGAAGUCAUUUGAAUGCUUUUGAAUAUGCAGAUUUUUCAGAUAUGAGUUAGACUUUGGACGAUUUCUCAGAAGACUCUUGGAAAACUCUCAGAAACUCUCAGAAGACUCUUGGCAGACUUCUUGAGAAGUCUUCUAAUGUAUUUUAUGCUAGAAGACUUCCCAAGAAAUCUUCGGGAAGUCUUCCAAAGUCUUCUGCCCAAAGUGGUACAAGGGAAUGAUGUCAAGUGUAGACCAAGCUUAUCUAUGUUGAGGAAUGAUAUCUAGGUCCAUGUGUAAUAGUUUUGUUUAUGGUCUGUUUUAUGAUUUGUAUUAUCUAUAAAUGUUGGAUAUGCAUUAUUGUGUGUUUUAUAUAUUAUAUUCUAAAAAGCUAUUGAUUCAAGACUGUUUUGUUUAUUAUUUAUGCAUUAAAAUUAUAUUUUUGAAGUUUUUAUCUGUUUUGAAGUCAUUUGAAUGUUUUUGAAUUUGCAGGUUUUUCAGAUCUGAGACUGACGUUGAAAGACUUCUCAGAAGACUCCCGGAAGACUUCUAGACAAGUCUUCUAAUGCAUUUUAUGCCAGGAAGUUAUCUGUCCAAAGUGGUACAAAUUUUGGAUAUCUAUUUUUUGUGUUUUAUAUAUUGGAUUCUAAAAAGUUAUAAAUUCAACCUAAUGUGACAGUUUUUUUGUUUAUUAUUAAGCAUAAAAAAAUGUUUUUGAAGUUUUCUCUGUUUUGAAGCUAUUUGAAUGCUUUUGAAUAUGCAAAAUUUUCAGAUCUAAAUCAGACUUUGGAGGACUUCUCAGAAGACUCUUGGAAGACUUCUUGGGAAGCCUUCUAAUGCAUUUUAUGCUAGAAGACGUCCCACGAAGUCUUCAGGAAGUCUUCCAAAGUUUUCUACUCAAAGUUAUACAAAUUUUGGAUAUGUAUUGUGUGUUUUAUAUAUUAGAUUCUAAAAAAUUAUAGAUUCAACCUAAUUUGAUUGUUUUAUUUAUUAUUUAAGCAUAAAAAAUUAUUUUUGAAGAUUUCUCUAUUUGAAGUCAUUUGAAUGCUUUUGAAUAUGCAGAUUUUUCAGAUAUGAGUUAGACUUUGGACGAUUUCUCAGAAGACUCUUGGAAAACUCUCAGAAACUCUCAGAAGACUCUUGGCAGACUUCUUGAGAAGUCUUCUAAUGUAUUUUAUGCUAGAAGACUUCCCAAGAAAUCUUCGGGAAGUCUUCCAAAGUCUUCUGCCCAAAGUGGUACAAGGGAAUGAUGUCAAGUGUAGACCAAGCUUAUCUAUGUUGAGGAAUGAUAUCUAGGUCCAUGUGUAAUAGUUUUGUUUAUGGUCUGUUUUAUGAUUUGUAUGUGCACUAUUUAGCUGUGAAUUAUUUUGUAAACUUAAAGAAAUGUUAAUCAAAAGAAUUUUUUUAACCAUUCUGCCCACUCAUAACAAAACACAACAACACAAAAACUUAGUCAAAUUCACAAAAGAUCAAACUUGAAUUUUAAGUGAAAGUUGAAGUUUUUUAAAUUUCAUGUAAGUUAAAAAUUAUAUCUUAUGAUCUAAAAAGACACAUUAAUCCACAUGACUUGAUAUUCUUGAAGUUACUUAACACUUUUGAAAGUUCACACUUAUGAGGAAGACUUACUUUAGCUAGAAACAUUAUUAAACAUCAAUGUUUGUAACUUCAUAAUUAUCACCAAUUAAGUUAUGAAUUUGACUCAGUAGUCCCAAUACUAACUAAUAAAAAUGAAUUAGCAAGAAAUUAUUAAAACUUCAUUUUAAUUUUGGAUAAAUUUGAAGUUUAAUAAAGAUUUACGUACAAAACUUCUUUUGAAGUCAUCCAUGGAAGACUUCAAAAGAAGUCUACCCUGUGUAGACUUCAAAAGAAGUCUUCUGUUUAGGUCAUUUUUGCAAUUGCAAAUUUACGAAGGAAGACUUCUUAAAAAGUCUACUCUACAGAAGACAUCUUUGGAAGUCUUCCUUUGUAAAUAUUGGUUUACUUUUGAAAUUGAAAUUUUUUCGAAAUUCAUAGAGAAGACUUCUUUAGAAGUCUUCGUCGGAUGACUUCUCUAGAAGUCUUCCGGAAGUCUUCUCAAUGUUGCAAGAAGUCUGUUGGGUUACUUUUGCAAUUGACUAUAUUUGACUUUUCGAGAGAAGACUUCUAUGCUUCUCUAGAAGUCUUCUCUCGCGGGAAAAAGUUUGACCAAAACCCAGAAUUAAACUCGAGAAGACUUCUAAAGAAGUCUUCUUAUAGAAGUCUUCUCAUUGAUAUUAAAUGUUUUAUUAUUAUUUUUCAAUUGCAAAAGUAACCCACACAGACAUCUUCCGGCAUUGAGAAGACUUAGUGAAGACUUUCAGAAGACUUCUGUAGAAGUUUUCUCCAGUAAGACUUCCUUAGAAGUCUUCUACAAAAAGUCAAUUUUUUUUACGAACUUCGGUCAAAUUUAAAACUAACAUGUUUAUCCGAGAAGACUUCCUAGUCAAAUUUUUGACGAACUUCAGUCAAAUUUAAAAUUAACAUGUUUAUCCGAGAAGUCUUCUCUUAGAAUUUCGAAAUUUUUUGUUUACAAAGAAAAGUUAAAAGACUUCUAGGGAAGUCGUCUAUUAAAAACACACAAAAGGUCAAUUGCAAAACUAACCUAUGCAUUGACCAGAAGACUUCUAAAGAAGUCUUCUUCGUCGAACAAAUCUGAAAAAUAAAAUGUGGUUUGCGAUUUCAUACCUUGAACUCGUGAGAUGACUUGUGUGGUUUCUCCAAUCACCCAGAACUUCACCACAACAGCUACCUACUCGUUAAUCACCAAGAAUCGUGAGCUUAUGAACCUUACAUAAUUUGUAAUCAACAUCUUCAAUUUUUUGAUGAAUUUUGAGAGAAAGUGUAAGAACCCUCCGUUAGAGAAGACUUCUUUGUAAGUCUUCUCGUUCAGUAGAUCUUAAAAAUAAUUUUAUAAUUUUAUAAAAAAUAUUUUGAUGGGUAAAAAAUUGAAAUCAUGUAAUAAUAAACAUUUAUCAUUGAUGUAAAUUUAGUUCAUAUGAAAUUGAAUUAUUUUCAACAUAGAUGAGUGAAUGUAUAUUGGCUCAUGAGUCAUUGGUUUAGAGUUUGGUAACAUAUGUAAUAGUAUUGUAUGUAUCUUUAGGGUUAGAUUCUGAAAUCUUACCUUUAUUUUUUUUUUCUUUCAAAUUGACCCAUAUAUGUUUAGUAACUAUCUAAUAACUUGAUUUAAACACUUUCAAAGUUUCUUUUAAGUUUAACAAAGUGUUUUUUGCAUGGUUAAUUGAUUUUAGGGUCUGGAAGACUUACAUCAGACUUAAAAAUAAGUUUUCCGACACAUCCCGCCUAAAUUUUAGUAGAAUUUAGGGUUCCCACCUAAAUUUUUGAAAAAUUUAGAUUUCCCGCCUAAAUCAAAAGUCUUCCAGAGGAAGACUUCUCAUGGAUUAGAUCUUAAAAAUAAUUAAUAAAUUUUAUAAAAAAUAUUUUCUAAGGGAAAAAGUCAAAAUCAUGUAUUAAUAAACAUUUCUAAAAGAUGAAAAUUAGUUUUACUCAAAUUGAAUUAUUUUUAACAUAGAUGAGUGAAUGUAGAUUGAGUCAUGAUAGUCUUCGGUUUAGGGUAUGGUAACAUAUGUUGUAGUAUUGUUAGGGUUAGAUUUUGAAAUCUCAUCUUUUUUUUUUAAUUUGACCUAUAUGUGAUUAGUGACUAUCUAAUAACUUGAUUUAAAUAUUUUCUAAUAUCUUAAAAGUUUAAGAAAAUGUUUUUUUCUCAGUUAUUUGAUUAUAGGGUCUGGAAGACUCACAAAAGACUUCCCAAGAAGUCUUCUGACAUAUCCCGCCUAAAUUUUAGUAGAAUUUAGGGUUCCCGCCUAAAUUUAGAAAAAAAUAGGUUUCCUGCCUAAAUCGAAGUCUUCCAGAAGUCUUCCCGAAAGUUUUCUCCUGUAUUAGAUCUUAAAAAUAAUUAAUAAAUUUAAUAAAAAAUAUUUUGAAAGAGAAAAAUAGAAAUCAUGUAUUAAUAAACAUUUAAAAACUAUGAAAAUUUAGUUUUACUAAAUUUGAAUUAUUUUUAACAUAGAUGAGUGAAUGUAGGAUCUAGAAAACUUCCAAAGAAGUCUUAUAUAUCGAAAAUAUUAAACCUAACUGAAAUUUUUGUCUCCAUAUAUAAAUAAAAUUUACACAUUCUCUUUCUUUCUAUCAAAUGACUGCAACAAAAAUUUAAUGUUUCUCACUCUAAAACUCUCCAACCUCUCUCUAAUCUCCUUGAACAUCAAAACACCAAAUUUAAAUCCUUUUCUCAUUUUUUUCUUAUGUAUUCUCACAAUUUAUCUUCUUUUUAAAGGUUUUUCAUUACAUGGUUCUCAUCUUUCACUCAUUCAAAGGUAUAUCUAUAAAUGUUGGAUAUGCAUUAUUGUGUGUUUUAUAUAUUAUAUUCUAAAAAGCUAUUGAUUCAAGACUGUUUUGUUUAUUAUUUAUGCAUUAAAAUUAUAUUUUUGAAGUUUUUAUCUGUUUUGAAGUCAUUUGAAUGUUUUUGAAUUUGCAGGUUUUUCAGAUCUGAGACUGACGUUGAAAGACUUCUCAGAAGACUCCCGGAAGACUUCUAGACAAGUCUUCUAAUGCAUUUUAUGCCAGGAAGUUAUCUGUCCAAAGUGGUACAAAUUUUGGAUAUCUAUUUUUUGUGUUUUAUAUAUUGGAUUCUAAAAAGUUAUAAAUUCAACCUAAUGUGACAGUUUUUUUGUUUAUUAUUAAGCAUAAAAAAAUGUUUUUGAAGUUUUCUCUGUUUUGAAGCUAUUUGAAUGCUUUUGAAUAUGCAAAAUUUUCAGAUCUAAAUCAGACUUUGGAGGACUUCUCAGAAGACUCUUGGAAGACUUCUUGGGAAGCCUUCUAAUGCAUUUUAUGCUAGAAGACGUCCCACGAAGUCUUCAGGAAGUCUUCCAAAGUUUUCUACUCAAAGUUAUACAAAUUUUGGAUAUGUAUUGUGUGUUUUAUAUAUUAGAUUCUAAAAAAUUAUAGAUUCAACCUAAUUUGAUUGUUUUAUUUAUUAUUUAAGCAUAAAAAAUUAUUUUUGAAGAUUUCUCUAUUUGAAGUCAUUUGAAUGCUUUUGAAUAUGCAGAUUUUUCAGAUAUGAGUUAGACUUUGGACGAUUUCUCAGAAGACUCUUGGAAAACUCUCAGAAACUCUCAGAAGACUCUUGGCAGACUUCUUGAGAAGUCUUCUAAUGUAUUUUAUGCUAGAAGACUUCCCAAGAAAUCUUCGGGAAGUCUUCCAAAGUCUUCUGCCCAAAGUGGUACAAGGGAAUGAUGUCAAGUGUAGACCAAGCUUAUCUAUGUUGAGGAAUGAUAUCUAGGUCCAUGUGUAAUAGUUUUGUUUAUGGUCUGUUUUAUGAUUUGUAUGUGCACUAUUUAGCUGUGAAUUAUUUUGUAAACUUAAAGAAAUGUUAAUCAAAAGAAUUUUUUUAACCAUUCUGCCCACUCAUAACAAAACACAACAACACAAAAACUUAGUCAAAUUCACAAAAGAUCAAACUUGAAUUUUAAGUGAAAGUUGAAGUUUUUUAAAUUUCAUGUAAGUUAAAAAUUAUAUCUUAUGAUCUAAAAAGACACAUUAAUCCACAUGACUUGAUAUUCUUGAAGUUACUUAACACUUUUGAAAGUUCACACUUAUGAGGAAGACUUACUUUAGCUAGAAACAUUAUUAAACAUCAAUGUUUGUAACUUCAUAAUUAUCACCAAUUAAGUUAUGAAUUUGACUCAGUAGUCCCAAUACUAACUAAUAAAAAUGAAUUAGCAAGAAAUUAUUAAAACUUCAUUUUAAUUUUGGAUAAAUUUGAAGUUUAAUAAAGAUUUACGUAGAAAACUUCUUUUGAAGUCAUCCAUGGAAGACUUCAAAAGAAGUCUACCCUGUGUAGACUUCAAAAGAAGUCUUCUGUUUAGGUCAUUUUUGCAAUUGCAAAUUUACGAAGGAAGACUUCUUAAAAAGUCUACUCUACAGAAGACAUCUUUGGAAGUCUUCCUUUGUAAAUAUUGGUUUACUUUUGAAAUUGAAAUUUUUUCGAAAUUCAUAGAGAAGACUUCUUUAGAAGUCUUCGUCGGAUGACUUCUCUAGAAGUCUUCCGGAAGUCUUCUCAAUGUUGCAAGAAGUCUGUUGGGUUACUUUUGCAAUUGACUAUAUUUGACUUUUCGAGAGAAGACUUCUAUGCUUCUCUAGAAGUCUUCUCUCGCGGGAAAAAGUUUGACCAAAACCCAGAAUUAAACUCGAGAAGACUUCUAAAGAAGUCUUCUUAUAGAAGUCUUCUCAUUGAUAUUAAAUGUUUUAUUAUUAUUUUUCAAUUGCAAAAGUAACCCACACAGACAUCUUCCGGCAUUGAGAAGACUUAGUGAAGACUUUCAGAAGACUUCUGUAGAAGUUUUCUCCAGUAAGACUUCCUUAGAAGUCUUCUACAAAAAGUCAAUUUUUUUUACGAACUUCGGUCAAAUUUAAAACUAACAUGUUUAUCCGAGAAGACUUCCUAGUCAAAUUUUUGACGAACUUCAGUCAAAUUUAAAAUUAACAUGUUUAUCCGAGAAGUCUUCUCUUAGAAUUUCGAAAUUUUUUGUUUACAAAGAAAAGUUAAAAGACUUCUAGGGAAGUCGUCUAUUAAAAACACACAAAAGGUCAAUUGCAAAACUAACCUAUGCAUUGACCAGAAGACUUCUAAAGAAGUCUUCUUCGUCGAACAAAUCUGAAAAAUAAAAUGUGGUUUGCGAUUUCAUACCUUGAACUCGUGAGAUGACUUGUGUGGUUUCUCCAAUCACCCAGAACUUCACCACAACAGCUACCUACUCGUUAAUCACCAAGAAUCGUGAGCUUAUGAACCUUACAUAAUUUGUAAUCAACAUCUUCAAUUUUUUGAUGAAUUUUGAGAGAAAGUGUAAGAUAUGUGGUUUGUAUGGAUAGGAAAUGAGAAAGGAUGAGAAAAAAUCGAAACUUUAGGGCAUUAACACUCUCAAUUUGGUAGUUCAUGGUGGUUGAGGUGUUGAUAUCAAUGGCAAAGUUGUAAAUAUUUGAUGAAGAUGAGGAUGGCAAGGUAAAAACAUUAUUUUCGAAAAAAAGAAAAAACAUAAUGGUAUUUUCGUGAAUAACUAAAAAUUCUAGGGUGAAUAAGACAAAACAAAGUUUCAAAAAAACAUAGGUUAUUUUUGUGUUUCACUUGAAAUUUUAAAUCAUUUUUGAAAGAACCUCGAGUAUUAAAUAUAUUUCUAAAUAUUGUGACCAAAUAUAUAUCGGCUAUUCCUGACUUUGUAGUAUAAGAAAAACCAACUUAAAUGUAAAAUAACCGCAUAGAUGUCAGGAUCAAAUCUACUAAUGGUGAGUAGUGAGAUGCAAGCAUAUUUGACGUUUCCAAAAACAUUUAUGGGAGUGUUUAGUGGACAAAGAUGGGUUAUUUUUUUACGUAACUGCUAUAAUUUUUAAUGAAUUGAUUUAAAACGUAAACAUUUUCCUUCUCUGAAAUUCUUUUUGUACGAUUUUGUCAUUUUCGUUUGAUUUUUAUGAGAAGUGAGGAAGACUCACGUUUAUAGAACCAGCAACCAAACAUUAUUUCACCAAUUAGUAACUUGACAUAAUUCUACAAAUACUGAUUAUCUGAUUAUGUUUUGAUAACGUGUUCAAUAUGUAUUGCAGUGGAUCCUCAUAUACCACAUGACCUUAAAGUUAAAAUUACUCUAAAAUGAGUAAUUCAUCAUUAAAGUCAAUUGGUAGUAUUUUGGCAACUGGAAAAGUGGGGCGAAACACAAUUCUUAAUCCUAAAUUUCAAAAACGAGUAGAUCUAUCUCCAUUUAUCCAAAACAGUCAACUUGUUUUUAGAAAUCUCAUUUUUUUCCAUGAUUGUGUUGAAGAUGAUAAUCCUCAAGCCCUUUAUCUUCGUGGUUUGGAAAGUUUGUGUAUUUGGAGAGCUACACAAUGGAUGCUUUUGUAUUGAAAGAGCCGCAAACAUUGGUGAUGAAAAGGAAAUAGUUAUGAAUGCUCUCAUUUUUGUAUGUUCUGGAUUACCUGAAUCUGGAAUUGAUGUACUUGACAAUGGAAUAGCUGACUGGAAAAAACAACUUAAAUUUGGUGACUUCAUAUGCCAAAGAAAUCAAAUUGACUUUGUUGCAAUUUUGUCUUACUGGUCAUGGUGUACUUGAAGGAACUUGGUAUUGUCCAUUACCAGAAUGUGAGUUUAACCAUGCAUUUUUUGCAUGUUCACUUUGUUUUUUAUAUAGGCACUCUAUUAUUAUUAAAAAUCUAUGUUAAUUGUAAUAUUUAGUUUUUUGUUUCAAAUGUUGUCAAAUGUUUCUUUUUAUUAUUGUGAAUAUAUUUGACAACUAUACAUUUGUGAUCCAGCAUGGAGAAUUGACGCUAAUGAUUUCAAACCGUGUCUGCGGUAAUGUAAUAUUGAUAAAAUUGACGUUGACUCUCCUGCGAAUAUGGAGAAUUAAGAAACGCGUGAACAUUGUCGUGAGAGUGUUUCUUUAAUCUUCUUGCAGGCGAGAUGGGAUAACAUUUUUGUUUACACAUUUUGAGACUAAUACAAUUGAAGAUUUUAAAUAAUUAUCGGAAGUAAUGAAACAACAUAAGCAUAAAUAUCAAUCAAAUAUAAAAUUUAUACUAAAACAAUUGAUAAGAUAAAAUUUUCGAUUAAGUUGAAUAAUUGCCACUUUGAAAAGUACUUAUAUACGAAGUUCUCUAUUAAAUACUUAACUGAAUAUAUUGCAUAAUUAAAUUACUGAAAACCGGUAUAACUGAAUACGUUAAUUUUAUGUUUUAACCAUUAAUGUAACAUUUGUUUCAUACCUUUUGCAAGUGCAUGACUGUACGUAUAAAUGAUUUCUUUGUUGAGAAAGAGUAUCGGCUUACAACUUCAAUUAGGGAACUAGCUGAAGAUAUUGUAUGUUAUACUAGGAUCGGUCCGGGCUACGCCCGGGUUUUUUGUUUAAAUUUAAAUUUUGAUUAUAUAUUUAGUAUGUUUAUUUUAAUAUAUAAAUUUUAUAAUUUAUCAUAAACAUAUAUGUAGCUAUCGACAAAUAUAAAAUAAUUUUAAAUUAUUCAAUCUUUUUGUCUUACGCUAUUCAGAAAAUUGUGUAUCCAUUUUUUUGUUAUUGAAAAUUAUAUAUAAAGUGAAGAGCAGAAUGAUCAAAAAUUAAUUAAAUUUUAGUUAUGGUGUUUAAUUGGUUAAAUUUUUUAAUGUUUCAAUUCACUUAAAACUAUUUAUAACAUUUGUUUCCAAUUAGUCUCUAAGUAAUUUAAUGGACUAUCCCUUUAAAUUUACAACCAACAGUAUAUUUUUUAAAAGAAUAUUUAAAUUUUUCAAAAUUUUAUGAUUAUAUAACACCAACAAAAUUUACUUAACCCGAUUUGCUUAACUAAUUGAUUUUGUUAAUGAAUUAGUUAAAUUUUGAACUGAAGCUUUUUCAAUGAGAAAAAAAUGAGUAGAAGCAUUUUAUGUUUUUUUAUAAAACUGUAAUGACCUGAUUUGCUUAACCAAUUGGUUUAAUUAAUGAAUUAGUUAACAUUUAAACAGAGCAUUUCUCUGGUUUUUUUAACUGUGUGUAUAAGUGUUCCUACAUAUCUAAUUAUUUAUCUUUUGGUCAAAACAUAGCUAAUUAUUUAAUACCUUUUUCUAUCAAAAUAACAUAGUGAUUUGAUAAAAAAAAUAGUGAUUAGUGUAAGGCUGUAUGUUUUUAUUUCAAAAUGUACUAACGUAAAUGCAUGGUGCCUAGAAUCGGUCCCGCGCGUAUGGAUGUAAUGUAUUUUUUGUUUGAAUUCUUUUCUUUUGUAUGCAAUUUUUAUUUGCUUUUUGGAUUUGUAUUCGGAUGUUUUGAUUGUUACUAUAUAUUUGUGAAUGUUUCCAAUUUGGUGUUUUUUUUUUGAAGUUACAUUGAAAUACCAAUAUUACAUAUUUCUUGGCAUGAAGUUCAUUCUUGCUUGUGUUUUUUUUUUGACUAAAGCUUGUGUUUUGUUGGUAUUACAUUUCUAUAGUUUUUUUCUGGUUCUUGGUCUUUAAUAUUCGUUGUGUUAAUAGUCCUGACCUUUUAUGGGUAUUGUAAAUGUCAAGUGCAUUCUAGCUUGUAUUUUCUUGGUAUUGCUUUUUAUAGUAUUUUCUGGUUCUUGGUCUUUAAUAUUUGUUAUGUUAAUAGUCCUGAUCUUUUAUGGGUAUUGUAAAUUUUGUUUGGUUAGAUUUUUCAUUUUGUUGGUUUAAAAUUUAAGGGAUUAAAUUAUGAUAAUUGUCUAGUAUAUGCAUGUAUAUGUCGUCCACUGCUCAUUUUGUUUUAAUAAAAAACAAUGAUCUAAUAUUAGAAAAAGUUCCCAAAAUUAUUAUUUAGGAUUCCUAUUAUUUGUAGGAAAAAAAUAUUCUUGCACGUUAGAGAAAUAUAGAAAUUCUUGCUCGUUAGAGAAAUAUAGAGAAAGCACUUCAUGUCUUCCAUGUAUUUUCAUCUUCGGGUCGUGUAUAUAUUAUAGCUUACUUGGAGACAUAAUCAAAUGUAAUCUGACAAAAUAUGUCACAACUUUGCCUGAUGGCUCUUUCAAGAAUAGUUUGUUUCCUACAUCUGUUCCAACCAUUUUCCAGUUAUUAGAAGCAUAUUUCACACAAAGCUAUCAUGUAAUAUAGAAAAAAAACAAAAAAUUGAAAAAAUUGACAUUAACAGCAACAAAAUUAAAUUGCACCAAAUAGAAUGUAAAAAAAAAACAAUAUGAGCUUGGUGUCAAGACGGUUGCGCACACAAUUCAAGUCGACAGUUUAGUCAUGUUUUAUAUCUUUACAUUGACAGCAUUUGUGCAUGAUGCAAUAAAAAUAAUGAAUGCAAAUACUAAAAGAAUUUUCAGCUUCUAAGACUUCCUAUAUUAUUAACAGUAUAUUUCUUAUAUAGCAAUAACAAUAUACUUGUGUAGAGUGACCUUUAUAUAUAAAUAUUCCUUACAUAAUUGGUUAAUUCUUAAUUUCAUUUCCAAGCUAUACUAAGUUGUCUGUACACAAAAAAGCUGUAUGAGAACACAAAAAAGGCUAUACUAAGCUGUCAAAAACCUUGUCCUUAAAAUAACAACCUGCAUCACAUGCCUUCGAUUUUUACCAUUUGAUAAGGCUUCAAGCUUUUUGUUGUUCAAAAAUAAAAGAGCAUGAGAUGGUUACCUAGUUAGUGCUUCAAUCAACUGAUGUACCGGAGUGCAAAGGAUACAAAAUUUCACCAAGAGAAUUGGUGAGGAAGGAAAAUAGCGAGAGAAGUGAUCACCACAAAGCUCCACAUCAUCAAACCUCUUGUUAGUGUGAAAGUACCCAACAAUACUCAAACCUUAGAGCCACGUAAUGCUCCACUAUCUAAACACAGAUAAAUAGCAAAAAAAUAAUGUUUUUUGCAUCAAAAACACAUGGAUACACACUAAAUCUCUCUCAAACACAGCUAUAGAACAAUGUUGCGCUUGUGGUUAAACCCAAAAAAUCCAAGAUCUAAAUUUUCUAUGUUAAUGAUAUCUUGCAUAUUUACAUUGUUUUAUCCAUUAUUUCAUGUGCAUUUUCAUCAUAUAGAUUAGGAUUUAGCCAUGUCUAGGUUGCAUUUUGUAUACAUAUGUCUCUAUUAGGUAUUGGAGUACCAUAUGGAGUUCUUGGAGAUAUUUGGGUGCGUUUGGAGCUCAAAAGAGGUGAUUAAGGUGAUCAUUGGACGAGCAAUGCAUGGGAGCGACCUACCGGAGCGACGCCAUGAACUCGCUCGCCAUUUACGCUUCGGAACGACCUCCUAGAGCGACAAGUCGAAGUCGCUCCAGCUCCUAGAGCGACCUCACCACAGCGACACCCAGAGGUCGCUCGGUGGGUAAGGAGCCUCAAGACCCAUUGAUUCUAGGAAGGUCAUUCUUAGCUACAGCAGGAGCUAUUGUUAAUGUGAAGGAAGGCACAAUUGGUCUCCAUUUGGGUAAAGAGAACGUCCUCCACUUUGACAUCAAGGGGAAAAUGAGAAAACCAACUGUGUUCGGGCAAGCCUUCUACAUUGAAGAGAUGGGCACUCCUGCUGAUGAGCACCUUGAAGAGUUACCACCUGAGGAGGACGAGGAGGGAGCAUCUCCCUCUACUCAUUCCCCAUAGAAGGUAACCCACUACUUUCCCUUGUAUAUACCAGUUCAUAUUUUGCAUUUUAGUUGUCUUUUGGGUAUCUCUCUCUCACUCACACAGAGACUGUCUGAUUUAAGUGUGGGGGGAGGUACCAAGUAUUUGAUCACGUUUGCCUUGAUGAUUUUGAGUCUCAUGCAUUGCAUACCUAUUUACAUAUAAAAAAAAAAUCAUUUAGUUUGCAUCAUUUGCAUUUCUAGGAGAGUCUAGAUCAUAUAGGUUGCAUUUACUUGCAUUGGGAGCAAUGAUUUUAAAUGCCUUGUAAAGAACACUACGUUGCACCUGAGUAGCUUUUGCACCUCUCAAAAAGACUUGUAUGUUUCGAGCCUUGAAAACUCUUCCUGAAACUUGUUGAUUGCUGAAACUCAGUCUUUGAAGCCAACUACAACCUUAUUUGAACUGAACGAACUUAAUGCUUCUUGCUCAUGGUCCCUUGUGUACUGAGUCAUGGCUAUACACACUUGAGUUGUCACAUCUUUUAUGCCAAUCUUAUUUUGACAAACUCUAGUGGUAGACCACUCCCAAAACCUUUCCCUCCUUUUAAGCUUUCAUUGUUUGAUGAGUGAGGCCUUCUUCGGAAAGUCUUACAUGUGCAUAAUGUUGAGAGUAUCGGGAACGACAAUGCUUGAUCUUCAUUCUUGCUAGAUUGGGCACUCUAUUGUCUAGCUAUAGGUGGGGGGUGAGAGUUGUGAUUAUGAUUUGGGAGCAAUGAAAAAGGAAAAGAAAUGACUCUUUGUGUUUAAGUGAAUUGUCUUAUUGGGAUAAGUAGAAAAACCUCUAGCUCAAGUUAUGAAAAGUCUUGGCCCCCAUCUAAAAAAAAAAAAAAAAAAAUAUGAAAAGAAAAGAAAAAGAAAGAAAAAGGGGGCUAGCAAAGUUGUUAGGAGCUAAGUAAUGUUUUGAGGUUGUGAAAAAUCCCUUGUAGAUUUCAAAGAGAAGGAGUUAAUGUUCUUAGGAUCUUUUGGUGAGAGAUGUGAGUUGGGUUUGACAUUUGAGAAUGAUUGUGUAAUUGUAUGUUUGGGAAAAGGGUAGAACAAUGGAGAUUGAGCAUUGUAUGCAUGAGUUGAUCCCUUUCUUAGAUAUAUUAUGUGCAAUGUCAAGGCUACUUGUUUCGAGAGUAAACCACCUUAAAGAUUUUAUGUUUCGAACCUCUUGAAUCACUUGAAUAAAAGUCUUCCCUCACCCAACCAAAUGACUUGGACCAACUUACCAUUUGCAAGAAUUCACCUGAUGUUUUGUGCUUAAUGAAUGUGAGAGUUGGUUGAUUUGAAUGUGUGGAUGCAUGAUGAUGAGUGUAGGGAUGAAAAGAGUUCAGAUAGACCUAGAGAAGCUAGAGUGUAAUAAGAGAGUGUGCUCGUGCUGGAUUAGAUGUUGAAUCGAGUACUAGUUGUGUUUCUUUUGGCUAUGAGCUCCCACCUUCAAACCUCUCUCCCUAUGAGUUCUAGAAAGUUCACUUGUGGACAAGUAAAAGAACAAGUUUGGGGGAGUUGAUAUCUUGCAUAUUUCCAUUAUCUUAUCCAUUCAUCCAUGUGCAUUUUGAUCAUAUAGACUAGGAUUUAGCCAUGUUUAGGUUGCAUUUUGCAUACAUAAGUCUUUAUCAGGUAUUGGAGUACCACAUGGAGUUCUCGGAGACAUUUGGGUGUGUUUGGAGCUCGAAAGAGGUGUAAAGAUGAUCAUUGGACGAGCAGAGCGUUGGGAGCGACUUCCCGGAGCGACACCAGCAAGUCGCUCUGACCUGCCUUUUCAGAGCGACCUUACCAGAGCGAUGCGGAGAAGUCGCUCGCCAUUUCAUCCCGGUGGAAGCCGAAAACUGACCCGGAGCGACCUAUCAGAGCGACCACUCCAGGUCGCUCCCGAAGCCCAGAGCGACUUGGCCAGAGUGACACCCCGAGGUCGCUCGCAUUUCUAUCGCAUGACGACAACACAAUGGAGCCAGAGCGACCUCUCGCAGCGACACAGCGAGGUCGCUCCCGAAGCAUGGAGCGACUACUCGGAGCGACGAGCGGAGGUCGCUCGCAUUUUCAUCACUCGGGAACGCGAGAACGAGUCCGGAGCGACCUCUCGCAGCGACACAGCGAGGUCGCUCCCGAAGUGUGGAGCGACUACUCGGAGCGACGAGCGGAGGUCGCUCCGCGUCUUAUUUCUGCUCGAACUUAUGAUUUCUCAAGGGCCUUUUGGUCAUUUCAUGAUGCACGUUUUUAUUUUCUAAACCUAUGUUUUAAUACUCUGUAAGCCACCAGGAGGCAGAUCUAUCUUUGUUCUGAAGAAAACCACCAAAAACCUUGAAAAAGGGGAUCUCUUUGAUUCAUUGAUCACAUGUUCUACUGUUGAUUUCUAUUCUAUUAUCUGUAUUUUCUCUGAAUGAUUAAUCUGAAAUCCAAUAUGGGUUUAAGAGGAAUCAUGGAGAUUAGUGAGUAAUCACCUUUUGAAUUCAUGGGUUAGGGAGAUUAAGGGUGAUUAGGUUAGUUCUAGGAUGUUUUAGUGUAGAUCAUUCUUGUUCCUUGCUAGUAGAGUAUUCAUAAUGCAUCUUCUGAGUUGGCCACUCAAAAGUUGAUCAAUAGGCAUUUCCCACCCGAAAGGUGUUUGAUGAAAUGCCUGAGACAACUCUCCUAGGCUUUUAGUAUACUUUGCCAAAGACAUUUGUUGUUAAAGGUGCUAAGAUAGCUAAUAGACUUGUUAGUAAUGAUUGUUUUCAUAUUAUUCAACCAAAGACAUUUGAUGUUUGAGAUAUGUUAGCAAAUGAGCAUUCAUCUAGACAUAGAGCUUGCUUAGAAUUGUGUCUAGGCUUAAGGUUGAUAGUUUGAUUGAUCAUUUGCCAUCCUUAGUUCGAUACUUGAUCACCCAAGGUCUAAUCCCUAUGCCCAUGAGUUCUCUUUUCCCUUAGUCAAGAAAGUAUCAUUCUGUUAUUGCUUUCUAGUAUUAGUAGUAGUUUAAAACUCAUCUAAAUCAUUGGUUGCACUUAGAUUAAGUGAGUACUUGCAUUCUCAGUGCUUUGAUAUCCCUCAGAACUGGUUCGACAAUCACUAUACUACAACAUUUGUCUUAGGAGCCUUGAAAACUCCUAACAUCAAAUUGGCGCCGUUGCCAAAUUCUGAGUAGAUUUGAACAUUGAGAUUUAGUCACUUGCUUGAGACUAAGUCAUUUUAAUUUUGUUUUGUUACUGAUUCUUCUUCUUCACCUACCUUUCACUUUCAGGUGUAUGAACUUGAGGAGCAGGGGUCCAUCAAACCUAGUUCCAAUAGUAGCAGACAUCAGAGCUUUUGAGAGGGAGUGUGCUAGAGCUAGAAGAGAAGAAGAACAACAAGCCCACUUGCAGAGAUUGGAUAUUGAUAUGGCAGAUCCACCGCAAGGGGCAGAACACCAACCGCGGGCAGCUCGACCCAUUGGUACUUAUGACCGGCCCAACAUUCAUGGUCAUAGACUGGGAAUCCGAGCACCGGCUGUGGCAGCCAACAACUUUGAGGUCAAGUCAGGACUCCUCAACGUGAUCGAGAACAACAAAUAUCAUGGCUUGGCUUUAGAGGACCCAUUCGAUCACUUGGACAGGUUCGACAGCUACUGUGGGUUGUCAAAAACCAAUGGUGUGUCAGAGGAUGCCUUAAAGCUGAAGUUAUUCCCUUUCUCUUUGGGGGAUAAGGCACGUCAGUGGGAGAAGUCUCUACCCAGCGACUCUAUCACUACUUGGGAUGAGUGCAAGAGAGCAUUCUUGGAGAAAUUCUUCUCAUCCUCAAGAACUGCUAAGCUGAGAAAUGAGAUCUCCAGUUUCCAACAGAAGAACUUGGAAGGAUUCAGUGAAGCCUGGGAGAGAUUCAAGGGCUACCAAGCUCAAUGCCCACACCAUGGUUUCUCUAAGGAGAGCUUGCUGAGCACAUUCUACCGUGGUGCUCUUCCUAAGUACAGGGCCAGACUGGAUACAGCUAGCAAUGGGUUCUUCUUGGGGAGAACUGAGGAAGAUGCAGAGGAGCUGGUUGACAACAUGGUAAAGAGUGAUGCAGUCUACAGUGGAGACCACGACAGAAGCAGUCGAACAGAUGAUAAGCAGACGAGGAAGGAGUUGAAAGCUCUACAGGAUAAGAUAGACAUCCUCCUUGCUGAUAAAGCCACACAAGAGCAGCUGCACUUUGUUGGUAACCCAAGCCAAGAUACACCACCUGUUGUCCAUGAGGUUGAGGGUUUGGAAGGUCAGGAAGAGCUGUGUUUCAUCAACAACAAUGGUAGCUGGUACAAAAAAGAGCCCAACUUUCAGUACAACAACUACCAACAGAAAUCCUAUCCCAACAACCAACAGAGUGGUUAUCCGCCUCGAAACAACCAGCAAGGCAGCUAUCAACCUCAUCAAAACCCCUCAUCUGGUUCCUCUGCUCCUCAAGAGAGCAGCACUGACACCCUGCUGAAACAAAUCUUGGAGUCUCAGACUAGAAGUGAGAAGCAUGUUGGUUAUGAGUUGAAGAACCUUCAUUCCAAGAUUGAUGGGAGCUACAAUGAGCUCAACAACAAGUUCUCACAUCUUGCUUCUACAGUCAAGAAUUUAGAGAAUCAGUUUGCUUCCAUGAACACUCACCAGACUCGCCAGCAAGGAUCUCUACCUGGAAAAUCUGACCAAAACCCCAAGGAGGCCAAAGCUAUCACCCUUAGGAGUGGUAAGCAGUUACCUCCUACAACCCUCACCAGGGAUGCUGAGAAACUAGGUGAGGAGGUGGCCAUCAACUUAGAUGAUGAAGUGGUGAUUGUUGAUGAGAAAAUCAAUGAUGAAAUCUUGGAGAAGAUUGUGGAAGCCAAGGGUAAAGGAAAGGUUGGGGAAGAGAAGAAAACAGUGAAGGAUGGUGAAGUUCUUGCUCCAGCAAGUGAGAAUUCUUUUGUUCCUCCUCCCUAUGAACCCAAACUACCAUUCCCUGGUAGAUUCAAGAGGCAGCUGCUAGAGAAGUACAAGGCUUUGUUUGACAAGCAAAUGAGUGAAGCUCAGGUUGCAAUGCCCAUCAUCGAUGCUUUCAUGUUGAUUCCUCAAUACAACAAGUUCCUGAAAGAUGUUGUAGCUGCAAAGAAGAAGGAAAUGGAAAGCAUGAUGAUUCUUACCCAUGAGUGCAGUGCCAUCAUCCAAAGGCUUGAUGUUCCAGAGAAGUUAGAGGAUCCAGGAUGCUUCACACUACCUUGUGCUCUUGGACCUAUGGUAUUUGAGAAAUGUCUCUGCGAUUUGGGAGCUAGUGUCAGCGUGAUGCCUUUGUCUGUUGCAAAGAAGCUUGGAUUCACUCAGUACAAGAAGUGUAAACUCUCUCUGGUGUUAGCUGAUCGUUCAGUGAAGUACCCUGUGGGCAUCUUAGAGGACCUACCUGUGAAGAUUGGAAGGUAUGAGAUACCUACAGAUUUUGUGGUGCUUGAGAUGGGUGAGGAGGCUCAAGACCCAUUGAUUCUUGGAAGGCCAUUCUUAGCUACAGCAGGAGCAAUUGUUAAGGUGAAAGAGGGCACGAUUGAUCUCCAUUUGGGUAAAGGGCAUGUUCUCCACUUUGACAUCAAGGAGAAAAUGAAGAAACCAACUGUGUUCGGGCAAGCCUUCUACAUUGAAGAGAUGGGCACUCUUACUGAUGAGCACCUUGAAGAGUUACCACCUGAGGACGACGAGGAGGGAGCAUCUCCCUCUACUCAUUCUCCAUAGAAGGUAACCCACUACUUUCCCUUGUAUAUACCAUUUCGUUUUUGCAUAUUAGUUUUCUCUUUUUGGGUAUCUCUCUCUCCUUGACAACACAGAGACUGUGUCAUUUAAGUUUGGGGGAGGUACCAAGUAUUUGAUCACGUUUGCUUUGAUGAUUUUGAGUCUCAUGCAUUGCAUUAUACAUAUAUAUUUGCAUAAAAAAAAAAUUCAUUUAGUUUGCAUCAUUGGCAUUUCUAGGAGAGUCUAGAGCAUAUAGGUUGCAUUCACUUGCAUUGGGAGCAAUGAUUUUAAAUGCCUUGUAAAGAACACUACGUUGCACCUGAGUAGCUUUUGCACCUCUCAAAAAGACUUGUAUGCUUCGAGCCUUGAAAACUCUUCCUGAAACUUGUUGAUUGCUGAAACUCAGUCUUUGAAGCCAACUACAACCUUAUUUGAACUGAACGAACUUAAUGCAUCUUGCUCAUGGUCCCUUGUGUACUGAAUCAUGGAUAUACACACUUGAGUUGUCACAUCCUUUAUGCCAAUCUUUUUGACAACCUCUAGUGGUAGACCUCUCCCAAAAAUCCAUUCCUCCUUUUAAGCCUUCAUUGAUUGAUGAGUGAGGCCUUUUUCGGAAAGUCUUACAUGCACAUAAUGUUGAGAGUAUCGGGAACGACAAUGCUUGAUCUUCAUUCUUGCUAGAUUAGGCACAUUAUUGUCUAGCCAUAGGAUAGGGGUGAGUGUUGUAAAGUUUGAUUUGGGAGUACGAGAAAGUUGAAGGAAAAGAGUGAACUCUUGUGCUUAAUUGACUAGUCUUUAUGGGAUAAGUAGAGAAACUUCUAGCUCAAUUUGUGAAAAGUCUUGGCCCCUAAACAUAAAAAAUAAAAAAAAUAAAAAAGAAGAUAAAGAAUAAAGAAAGGGGACUAGCAAAAUUAGUAUGAGCUAAGAGGUGUUCAAAAAAGUGUAAGAAAUCCCUUGUAAAAAAAAAGAGAGAGUUUUAUGUUGGGAAAUGCUUUUGGAGUCCUUGGGUGAGAGAUGUGAGUUGGGUUUGGAAUGGGGAAAUGAAUGUGUAUCAUAUAUGUUUGGGAAAAGGGUAGAACAAUGGGGAUUGAGCAUUGUAUGCAUGAGUUGAUCCCUUUCUUAGAUAUAUUAUGUGCAAUGUCAAGGCUACUUGUCUUGAGAGUAUACCACCUUAAAUAUCAUAUAUCUAGAACCACUUGACUCACUUGAAUAAAAAACCUCCCCUUACCCAAAUGAUUUGGACCAACUGACCAUUUGCAAGAAUUCACUUGAUGCUAUGCUUAAUGAACUUGAGAGUUGGCUGAUUUGCAUGUGUGAAUGCAUGAUGAUGAGUGUAGGGAUGAAAAGAGUUGAGAUAGGCCUAGAGAAGCUAGAGUAUAAUAAGAGAGGGUGUACUAAUGCNNNNNNNNNNNNNNNNNNNNNNNNNNNNNNNNNNNNNNNNNNNNNNNNNNNNNNNNNNNNNNNNNNNNNNNNNNNNNNNNNNNNNNNNNNNNNNNNNNNNNNNNNNNNNNNNNNNNNNNNNNNNNNNNNNNNNNNNNNNNNNNNNNNNNNNNNNNNNNNNNNNNNNNNNNNNNNNNNNNNNNNNNNNNNNNNNNNNNNNNNNNNNNNNNNNNNNNNNNNNNNNNNNNNNNNNNNNNNNNNNNNNNNNNNNNNNNNNNNNNNNNNNNNNNNNNNNNNNNNNNNAAAGGUGUUUGAUGAAAUGCCUGAGACAACUCUCCUAGGCUUUUAGUAUACUUUGCCAAAGACAUUUGUUGUUAAAGGUGCUAAGAUAGCUAAUAGACUUGUUAGUAAUGAUUGCUUUCACAUUAUUCAACCAAAGACAUUUGAUGUUUGAGAUAUGUUAGCAAAUGAGCAUUCAUCUAGACAUAGAGCUUGCUUAGAAUUGUGUCUAGGCUUAAGGUCGAUAGUUUGAUUGAUCAUUUGCCAUCCUUAGUUUGAUACUUGAUCACCCAAGGUCUAAUCUCUAUGCCCAUGAGUUCUUUUUUACCUUAGUCAAGAAAAUAUCAUUCUGUAAUUGCUUUCUAGUAUUAGUAGUAGUUUAAAACUCAUCUAAAUCAUUGGUUGCACUUAGAUUAAGUGAGUACGCUCUUAGAGCACAUCGACACCCAGAGGUCGCUCGGGUUGUGUCGAUGUGGUGAGCGACGAACAAGCCAGGAGCGACCUCCUAGAGCGACACCCUAAGGUCGCUCGCGUCUAUGGUUUCUGAGCAAGCCGGGAGCGACGUCUUCAGAGCGACACAGCCAGGUCGCUCACGAGGAGACGACCCGGGAGCGCUGUCUUCGGAGCGACACAGCCAGGUCGCUCGCGAAGAAACGCCCCGAGAGCGACCUCUCGCAGCGACGUGCCGAGGUCGCUCCGCGUCUAUUUGUUUGACCGAAUUCAUCGAGAGCGAGGUUAGAGUGAAAGGUGGUGAGACGGUUGAGACGUCCUCGAAUCCGCUAACAGUUAACAGAGUACCCGCCUUGAGACGGUGGUGCCGGAAGGUGUCAAGACGGUUGACAUUACGGUGGCUGGCAUGAGUGUCGACUGAAUCACAUGUGAAAAAAAGCCUAAUCAGCAAACAGUUUCAAGAUUUCUCAUUCAAAAGAGUUUAAAUCAAUAUCUCAAUACAGAAGUUUGGAUAAUUAUGAGUUAAAACGCCCAUGUAGUUUAAGAAGAAGUUGUUAAAGAGUUUUAAGAAUGAAAUACCUUAUCAUCGAAGAGGGUUAUGUCAACUCCCAUCAACUCGUCACAGCGUUGCGAUUUUCAGUUUCUGAGCAGCCGAACCUUGACGACGGAAGAUCAACAGCCGAAUUUCAAUUCAGCAAGUAAAACGGAAUUUAGUCAUUAUAUAGAGAAAGAAAUUUUAGAAUGCAAUUGGAAUUGUGAGGAUGAUUCUCCUGAGAUGAGGCCUUACCUUUUUAUAACGGGAGAUCCACCGCUAGGAAGAGGGAUAAGAACCAUUGAAUGUGUAAUCGUGGAUCCAGUGGAUCGAAAUAGUUAAGACUUCAUUAAUGACGAUGAAUCAACACAUGUUUUAAAGCCUAAAAAGAAAUGAAUCAAAAACAAAACGACGCCGACAUAGACAUAGAAACGUAAUGAAAGUAAUUAUCUCCAUGAUUGCAGACGGAAGAGUUUAUGAAACUUGAACAACCUCUAUGAGCGACUUACUUGAUCACAGUUUCAAAGCGAAGAUGUUCGAGGAAGACGACGGCGUGAACACAUCUUGCUUUUAGGUUUCAAUUAAGGCUUUGGGCUGAAUUAACUUGAAUAUAUUGAGGGGCCCAUAUGACCUUUGAACAGAAUCGAAUCGUUAAAUAAAAAAAAUAGUCCAAGUCCAAAGUCUUUUAAGCAGUUUUGACUUUUCUUAAAGUGACACGUGUCAGCACCACAUAGCACGAAUUUGUGAUCUGGAUGCUGAGGUGACUUCACCAGGAGAGAACAAACUCUCUUUUAUAUAUAAAGAUUUUAUCGAAGAUUUUCAAUCAGUCAAAUAAAGAUUUUGGAAUUGUAGAUUAGUCAAUAAAGAGAUUUGUAGAAUCUAAAAAUCGUCUUUUAUUUUAAAUAAUCUACAAAUUAGGAACUUAUUCAAACCUCCAUACAAUGAGAAAUAUUUUUCUAAACAUAGUAACUUCUUAGACGAUUGUGUUCUUAAUAACAAUGUUGAAACCAUUUUUUAUCUGGCAUAAAUGAAUUAUAUUUUAAAAGAGCAAACAUAAAGGUCUCAAAAUAUUAAAACAUGCCGCAAGUUAUAUUCAUGUAAAAUCCAUGUAUAUAUUAGCAUUCUUAUUGGAGAUGGUGAUUUAACACAAGGCUCUACAUUAAUUAACAAGAUGUUGAAUAGCAAAGGAAUAUUUCAGCUUAAAAUGUUAUACAAGUCUUAAAUCGCUUUCUUUGAUGCUUGCAAUCAAGGGCGGACGCAAACGAGAGGUGGGUGGGGCAUGUGCCCCAUGCUAUUUUGUCUUUUUCCCUGAGAAAAGUAGUACUAAGUUUACAUUAGUCCUUUUAAUUUGAAUAUUCUUUACUACAUGGUCUCAUAUAAUAUAAGUUUGCUCCAUAAUAUAUAAGGUUUUGGAUCAGCCCCUCCUUGCAAUGAAAGAACACAAUUUUUAUAGAGACAUUUUGGACGGAAUGGAAGUGAAAAAAAUAUGGUAUGAUAUUUUUUAUGGUUAUUGUGUAGAUUUUUUAGUAUAAAAAGAACUUGUUAAAUUCCUUGAAUAUUUUUUAAAAUAAAUUAAAUAGUAAAAAUGGUUUAUUAUUCCCCUAAAAGGUUAUUAAAUGUUUAAAUUUGUAUCAUAUGAUUUAUUUUGGUUACAUUAAAAUUAAAAUAUAUAUCAAUUGUAAAAUAAAGUUUUCAGUGAUUAUUAUGUUUAAAUUUAUAUAUUUUUUUUAAAAAAAAUAUUAAACUAAUUGAGAUGAAUGUAACAUACCAUAUGUAACUAAAACCUGAAACAAAAUAAAAAUACCAAUUGUAUUGUACCUUAAUAAGGUUUUUUAAUAUUAUAUAUUUUAUUAUAUGCAUCACUGAUUGAUUUGAUUAAAUAUUUAAUAUUUUAAACAUGUUUUUGACUGCAAAAGCAUAAUUAUAACUUUAGAUCAAACGUUGUGCCGGUACCAUUUGAAGGAAGCUCCUGACAGUUUUGGUUGUGGUGCUGUUGCUGACCUUUUGCAGUUGAACAUGCAAACAAUGGCGAAGAAGCCCCCGCUGCAGUCUCAUGAGAAAGUGCCAGUGCAUGUGCUGUCAACAGGGGCAUGGAAGAGGAUGAAAGCGGCGUUGAAGAAAAGGGAGUUAUGUGAUUAAGAAGUUACAGAGGUUCUACCGGUACAACAUAAGAAGGCGAAGACAUGUUAACUAAAUUUUGAAACGUUUUGGUUGGUCCUGCUUUGAGCUUGGAAGAACUUUUACUCAAAGUUGCAUCCCUUGGUUCAGUUUCCAAGCAAUCCAAAAAUGAAAUACCUAAACAAAAUUAACCAAGUAUUUGAAAAUAUUUAUGUUUAAAAUUAGUAUUGUUUCCUCUGCGAGGGGUCCGAAUCCUAGUUAUCAAUAAAGCCAAAAGCUAACCAUUUUAAUUCCUAACCCUAACCGUAUAUUCUUGUACACGUAUUUAUAUAUGCUGUACUCUUGGUUAAAAAGCCAGCCACCAUUAUUUUAGAUCGAGCCAGAGCUGAUGCCAUUGUGUUAUCCACCUCUGAUCAUCACUCUCCUCUCCAUCUCUUUUCUCCUUUAUUCCCAUGUUCUUCUUCUCCCUCUUUAUGAAGCUGUGCGUUGUUGUUUGGAAAUGCGAGACGCAAGCACCACCACCACCGUGAACCAUCUCACCUCAUCCCACCGGAGCCAUGGUUCAUCACCGGAGGAGCAGCCCAUGUUAUCACCGACUCGUUACCUGCAGUCACAUCUGUUGCGUUGUGGUUACGUACCGGAUCUGCGAGAUGGAGAGCAUGAGCCGAGAGGGAGAGAAAGGCGUUCGAGGCGGAGCCGCUCCCCACCACCAACGGUCGUAGAUCUGUACCGCCGGGAUCCCUUGGUCACCGUAGUUGAUCCAUGUUGUCGGAGAGCCAUCGAUGUUACGUCGUUGACGUCUUGUAUCGGUUGGUGAAGUGGAGCACGUAAUCAAUUAUGAUAAGUUGCUUAGUCCUAUUUUUCUUGUAUUACAAGUAACCAUCUUAUCAUAAACCCUAUAAUUAUAUAUUAAUUAUGCCUGUGUCUUGUGAUGUGUCGCGGUGAGAAGUAGAGAUCCAUGGUGAAACCGUAGCUUUCUUGCUGAUAUAGUCAUUUCGUAUAUAGUCGGACUCGCUUCUGGUUCUUCGUUACUGGCUAAGGUGAUAGUCUAUUCCGUAAAUCAUGUACCAGUGUAGAAUUCUCUUUAUGAUAGUUUAGAUUUCGAAUCAUAUCCGUCUGUUUGAAUUGAGUCUAUUUGAGUCUUGAUUAUUAGUUAAUCAUUCAUUGUAAACUGGAAUUAGGGUUCUAGAGGAUUCAACCGUUGAUUGAAUUGUGUGAUGUUCAGAAGUGCUCUAUAUAUCAUAUAUAUGAAUACAUAGUUAUAAGUACGGACUAUGUGCGAGGGCGGGGGUUCAGAGAUGUAUGGACUAGCGACGCAGCUUUUGAGGAUGGGGGCCAUAGACGUCUGGGCUAGCGACGCAGAUUGUGAGGGGCGUGGGUGCAAAGACGUUUGCAUUCGACGUAGCUUUGGAGGGCGGGGAUACAGAGACAGACUGUACUAGCGACGCAGCGUAUGUAUAUAUAUCCGUAUGAGGAUAUGCGGGGUGUAUGGACUAGCUAUAUGCUAUCAUCGUACUGUUUGUGUUGUGUUGUGUGAUGCUUCAGGCGUCUUGUUUAUUCAUGUUAGAGCUAAACUUUCAUAGUGGGAGUUCUAUUUACUCAAGUCAGUGGUUUGCGUGUUUAGCAUCUCAUACCUCACUGAGUAACUCCCCUGCUGCUCACCCCGCUUCUCCCCAUUGUAGGUGAGCUUGCCGAGUGUUGGAUAUCUGGACGUUUGAUAGACUAUGGAUUUGACUCAUUUUCAUCCAUGGUUUAUAGAUGUUUUUACUAAUAAUUAUUAUAUUAUAAAGUGUUUUUAUUAUAUUUAUAAGAUCAUGAGUGAUUUGGAGAUAAGUGAUGAUUUUGGAGCAUUUUGGAGAUAUUUGGACCAAGCACCCGAGAUGACCAUCGAGCUCGACCAUCUGUCGAUAAUGGAGAGGAAUAAUCGAUCGAUGUUCAUAUCUUGACAUCGAUCGACAGCGAAGCGCGCAGAAAGCCCGUUUGGUCACAGCCGACUUGAAACCCAAGUCUUCACCAAUUUACAAGAUUACCCCUGACAAGUUUUACCCUAAUUAUAUAAGCUUUGCAACCAUGUUAGAGGCAAAGAGUGCUUUUCUUGUUUUAUUAUUUUCACAGCAAGGUUUCCAGGAUUUUGAUAGAUUGGAGAAAAGAUUCAAAGUUAUAAUUUGUGAUUGGAACUCUAUUAAUAUCUAUUUACUAUUCUAAUGAAGUUUUCUUACCUAACUGUUGUUAUGAAUUGCUUAGUCAUGUCUGAGUAGUUCCAUUGUUAGAUUUUAGGGUUUAAAUAGGUUAGGAGGGAUUAGCCCCAACAUUAGAUUGCUGAGUUGUGGUAAUUGUCAUUAGGAUUGUUCAUUAUUGUCUGUCUCUAGAUUAUUAGCUACCUAGAACUUGCCCUAGGAUUGAUAGAUAAAAACGAGAGCUUCAUUCUCAUCCUGAAAACAUUCUAACUGAGCUAAGUUUCUUGCUAUGAGUAAGGCGAGAGCUGAUCUAGUGAGCCUAGUAAGCUAUCAUUCAACCCGCGCAUAGAGCUCAACUAGAAGCGCGUCGAUCGAUAUCAUUAUUGAAUAAUCGAUCGACAGAGCGAAAGGUGAAUCGAUCGAUAUCCCUAUAGGAUCAUCGAUCGACACUUUCUAAUUGAUCGACAUACGAUAGUUGAGAUCAUUAGAUCUAGUUAAUAGACAAGUCUAAACAUGCGAAAGCUGAUAGACUUGUUGACUAAGUAGUUGAGCUUUACAUUAUCAUGCAUGCAACUCAUUAGGCAUCUGUAGGAUUAUAAUCCCAAGUUUUCCGAAUAAAAACCUUAAGUAUAACUAUUUUCUUUUAAGCACCAAAACCUCAACCAAUCUAUUGAACAAACACUUGUUCAAUAUAAAACUGCAAUUUACAUUUACAUCUCUAAAACUAUCUUGCUUAACAAAUCAUAUUAGAUUUCUUAGGUUCCCUAGCUCCCUGUCAAUUCGAUCCCUAAGUACUACAACUCGACCUCUUAUUUGAGAGAGUAUAAAUCACUCCUUAGGGUAAUUUUAGUGGUAUCAAAUUUGGCGCCGUUGCCGGGGAGCUUUGAUCGCCUAUUCGAUCUAAUUUUUUUUAAGUUUCUGACACAAAAUAUUUUCUUGGAUUUCAGGUACAUGCUCAGCAGUACUAGAAGCAACAAGGAAACCCAACUACUAUUCUCACCAGAUCCUGCAAGUUUGGAGCGUUCAAUCCGUAAAGAAGCGCGCUCCUCAUCGAUCGAUAACAACAUCUGUUCGUCGCUCAAUUUCGUUCAACUACCGUCGACCGAUACUCGCUCACCACCAUCGACCGAAGACACUCAUCUUCCAUCGACCGACAUCGAUCGAUACUCCUGUCCGUACAUCGACCGAUACUGACCCGCGAGACAUGGUUGCGACUUUGAUACUUGUUCGAGAUGAUAGAGGAGACCUGCAUGACCAGGAAGGUCAUCAGCAUAAUGCAGCAGGUCAGAGGAUAGAUGCUCAGGGGAUGAAAUUCCUCAGUCUGAUGCUAAUGCUACAAGAACUAAUCUACCUGUAGAUGAGGCUGCGCGACCCAAGACGUUGACUGACUACAACCGUCCAGAUCAGUUAUACACCAACAGAUAAGCCAUUCGUCCUCCCACUAUUCAGAGGGAUUUCGAGUUGAAGGCGCAGUACUACACACUCGUGGGACAGAUACCCUACCAUGGAUUAUCUCACGAGCAUCCUAUGGACCAUCUGGAAAGGUUCGAGGAUCUGAUAUCUGCUAUUAAAGUCAAGGGAGUCCCUGAGGAUUAUCUCCUAUGCAAGCUCUUCAAGUUCUAUCUUACUGGAGAAGCUUCGCAUUGGCUUAAGUAGCUACCACCAGGAUCUUUCACAUCCUGGAGCGACAUCAAGAAAGCAUUCUUAUGCAAUUUCCGUGGGAACCAAAAUUCGCACUGUCGAUUUCCGUUUAAAUUAGAAAAGUAGGAGAACCCUAGUUUCCCAGAGGUCCCGGAUAUCUGCUAAUACCACACGCUAAGCAAUUAGAACACGAGAUAACAAUGAUAAAUUAUAUGAAAUCGUAAAAAGAGAGCAAAGAGAAGUCUUAUUCCGAAUUUGCGUAUGAGCGUUUACAACAAGGUAUAAGCCUGGGCUCGAGAGCUGUCGGCGAGAUUUCUAGUUCUAACAACCCUAAGACGGCGAAACCUAAUUGAGUCGCAGCUCGAAUAACAAAAACAGAAAGUUGCCUAAUUGUCCUAAGUGCUAAGUUUACUCUCAGAAAAGUCCCUCCAUGCCUCUCGCCUAGGACUCCUUAUAUACUGGCUCCAAGGUCGGUUUACGCUUUUCCCCUUCUGCCCUUAAGCCGCCAUAGCAUAAAAUGGAGAUAUUCUAUUUUUUCCGAUCUUCGUAAUUAUCCUCAAAAUUUCGUAUUUAUCCGCGGAAACUUGACAUUUAUCUUUCCUCGCGAACCAAGCGUAAACCGUCAUGCGGCUUACGGGCUGUUGGUUAAGAAAUCGUAAGUUGGGCCUCGAGUCACGUCUUAGGUCCCUUUGGGCCGUCUUCUGACUCGAAGCGUUUAUUACGACUUUCCUCGAUAAAGAACCAAUUUUUCGCGGUUUUUACGGUUAAGUUUGAUCGAUAACUUAGAAUGGCAGGGAAUCGUGAAGUGGGUUCGCUACGGUCUUCGGGAGAAUGCAUGGACUAAUGUCUUAUCGACGUUUCGGAAGAGCUCGGUCGCUACGUAGCGACCGAGCGACUCGAGCUCGGUCGCUACGUAGCGACCAAGCGGAGCACGUGUUCGGUCGCUGUGCAGCGACCCUUUUUGAGCUCUUGUCCGAUAACUCGCGUUUCCUCCGCAAAGCUUUUCGUAAAGAAGAAUCUAUUUCGAAAAAGUAUUUGUCGAAGAAGAUUUCUACGUUUUCUUUUUGGAGAUUUGGAUGUUAACUUCGUCGCAACCAUUUUCGACCCCAACAGUUAGCCCCCCAGCUCAUUAGAGUCGAGACUCUAGCGGGCGGUUUGACGAUUUUUGGCGAAACUAGGCGUAUUGAACGAAGUUUACUUCAAACUGCGGAAGAGAAUUCUCGAGAAAGUGUUUAUUGAAAAAAAAAAAAUUCCGAGCCCAUACUUCUAUAAGUAGUGAGCUCUUGUCAUUCAUUUGCUCCACACCUUCCUUUCUUCAAUCCUCCAAAAACCUCUCUAGCUCCAAAUCUCUUGUUUUUAACAUGUCUUCUUCCCAUGGUGACAAGCGAAGUACCGAUGUGGAGAUGGGCGAGGCUACCUCUCUGGCGCCGAUUACGACUUCUCUGGUCGAAUCGCCUGCUUGCGUUGCCGACCAUCUCUCCUUUCGAGAGAAAUUAGUUCGUCGCCAAGCCGAGAAAGAACAGGUUCGAUCCGGCGCCGAGUUACCGUCCUCUUCUGCACUGGCCAUUGCUCCGGGUCAUGGGACCGAGGGCGCAACUCCGCAAGAUACGGGAAUUCUCACAGGCUUGGUUAUUCCAGAUGCUUUGGCUUUACCUGCUGGAUCGUCCACGACUCCGAUUCUCGUCGAAGAUAAGGAGAGGGCUGCUGACUCUAUGCCUCCUUCUCCGGCCAGGAAGGAGAUCGUUCUAGCGCUGCACGCUCCUAGUGUUGUUCCGGUUGCUCAGCCUAAGGGCCGGAAGAGGAAGUUUACCAAGGGUGGUGACGGGGAAUCUUCGCAGCAAGGAGACUCGGGCAUAGCGUCGGGGCUUCGCGGAAAGUUUGUCGCUCACUUUCUUUCUUGAUUGCUACAAAUUUUUCUAAAAGACAAAGAAUCCCUAACUUUCUUCUCAUUUCGCAGUUCAUGUCGUUGAUCGACGGGAUGAUCAGCGAGUGCGGUUCUGAGACCAGUUGUCUUGCCGGGGAGUUGUUGGAGCUGCAGGGUAGAUGGUCCGAAACCGAGGCCACGGUUUGACGAUUUUUGGCGAAACUAGGCGUAUUGAACGAAGUUUACUUCAAACUGCGGAAGAGAAUUCUCGAGAAAGUGUUUAUUGAAAAAAAAAAAAUUCCGAGCCCAUACUUCUAUAAGUAGUGAGCUCUUGUCAUUCAUUUGCUCCACACCUUCCUUUCUUCAAUCCUCCAAAAACCUCUCUAGCUCCAAAUCUCUUGUUUUUAACAUGUCUUCUUCCCAUGGUGACAAGCGAAGUACCGAUGUGGAGAUGGGCGAGGCUACCUCUCUGGCGCCGAUUACGACUUCUCUGGUCGAAUCGCCUGCUUGCGUUGCCGACCAUCUCUCCUUUCGAGAGAAAUUAGUUCGUCGCCAAGCCGAGAAAGAACAGGUUCGAUCCGGCGCCGAGUUACCGUCCUCUUCUGCACUGGCCAUUGCUCCGGGUCAUGGGACCGAGGGCGCAACUCCGCAAGAUACGGGAAUUCUCACAGGCUUGGUUAUUCCAGAUGCUUUGGCUUUACCUGCUGGAUCGUCCACGACUCCGAUUCUCGUCGAAGAUAAGGAGAGGGCUGCUGACUCUAUGCCUCCUUCUCCGGCCAGGAAGGAGAUCGUUCUAGCGCUGCACGCUCCUAGUGUUGUUCCGGUUGCUCAGCCUAAGGGCCGGAAGAGGAAGUUUACCAAGGGUGGUGACGGGGAAUCUUCGCAGCAAGGAGACUCGGGCAUAGCGUCGGGGCUUCGCGGAAAGUUUGUCGCUCACUUUCUUUCUUGAUUGCUACAAAUUUUUCUAAAAGACAAAGAAUCCCUAACUUUCUUCUCAUUUCGCAGUUCAUGUCGUUGAUCGACGGGAUGAUCAGCGAGUGCGGUUCUGAGACCAGUUGUCUUGCCGGGGAGUUGUUGGAGCUGCAGGGUAGAUGGUCCGAAACCGAGGCCAUGCUGACGGCUGUCAAGGAUUCUCACUCCGUGAAAGUGUCGAAACUUGAGGUCGCGAUAGGGGAGCUCGAGAGGGAUCUCGGGAAGACGGCGAGUUCAUUCCUUAAGGAGAAGAAGACCAGGAAGGCUAAAUCUUCGGAGGUGCGUCUUCUUCAGCGUCAGAUCGAGGGCGAUGCAGGAUCAGCGAGCCGCGGGAUUCGAGAGGCCAAGGACACUCUUCGUUCUGAGUUUCAAGCUCGCUUGUCGAAGAUUUCCGCCUUUCUGGGCUCUCUCGAAUGCAUCCGGAACAGGGAUUUAGCUUUGGCGACGAUUGAGGGCAUGAUGGCCGUGGUUCAGUCGUUCCAAAGCGAGACUCCUACGACCUUAGAGGCCGAAGAGGCCCGACUGUCUGGCUGCAAGGGAGAUUUGGCAGUCGUGGAUGGAGAUUUCGAUUUCAUCCUAGCUGACCUGAAAUCUGUGUGCUUUCUUCCGACGUGUUCGGAAGGCCCGGAGGGGGAGGAUCCGGUGCUCAGAGAAGUCGGAGGUGAUGCGGCUCCAGGUUUGAAUGAAGUGACGGGUGAAGAGGGAGCGUGAGCUCUGAGGAUGACUUUGGUUAGAUCUCUUGCGGGAGAUUUUUUUUUAUGUUUGAUAUUUCGGCCUUAAAUGGCCUUAUUUCGUGUUUCGGGACUGGCCGUAUGUGGCUUUGAAUCCCUGCCGCUCUGCGGCCCCCUUUUUUUUUAUGACAAGACGAUCGAGUUGCAUUUUUCAUAAGCUUACGUAUGGCGUGGAAGAAGGGUGAUGAGUUGUCGUCUCAAAUCCUUCUUCGACGUGAAAUGUUUUGUUCGAGAUCUGUUUCGAGAGUUUUUCCGCGAGAUAUCGACUUCGCGGGAUAUCUGGAGAUGUCGAAUAUAAACAUAGAGGAAUGGUUUUGGGAUCUCGUAUCAUUUGGAUAUCAUGCCUUGAGAUGUUAGAGACCAGUGCGCUGGGUUUAGGGCAAGACCUAGGUUUACAUUCGGUUUUAAGAUUUUAUGCGGUGACUAGCCGGCCAUCGAUUUAUCUGUUGCGAUUUUAACCUGAUUCGAACCGUUUUAAAGUCCGCGAUAGAUUAUCGGUUUAUAUGACUUGUUAGAUAUGAAUCGAGCAUCUCUCCGGAGACAAUUUUUAAGCCAACAGAAAGUGUUGGACCAAAAUUUCGGGUUUUUUUUAUAGCGCUAUUAUCCUUGUGUCGGAUGUACGAGAGUCAUCUUCGUGAGAUGGCUAUGUCUGUUUAGGACGUUCAAGAGUUCGAUGUGAUCAGCACCGAACUUGGCGGCAGGUGCCGUCGUUUAGAGUUUUUGCGCAAGAUAUGUGUUAAAAUGUUCGUCAUUUUUUUACGGAGUGUCCGUUUUUGUCGUUCGGAAGAAGUAACCCUCGAGACAUCUCUCGCGACGUCUCGCGAUGCCAAAGGCUGCGUCUUCCUAACGGCUGAUGUAUUUUCGAAUAUCGAAAAUGUUUUGCGGAUAAUCGAUAAUUUGCUUGGUUAAGAUAUGUCGGAAACAUCGAAGGCGCGGUCGGAUGUUUUCGAGUUUGAGAGUAUACGAGUAUACGUAUCCACUCCCCCCCCCCCUUUUUAAUGAGGGGGGACAGCUGAAUUUACCUUUUGACAAACUGUCUACGUACUCCUUAUGGAGAUCAAGCCGUCUCGUAGUUCGGUAAUUGUGAGUUGGUUUGUUUAGUGAUAGUAUUUUUUGAGAUGCAUCGCGUUCCAGGUCCUUGGAAUUUUUAUGCCUUGCAUGUUGGCUAUUUUGUAGGAGCCCGGUCGAACGAUUUUUUCGAUUUUAUAGGGCCCUUCCCACUUUGCGAAGGACAAGAUCUCCCUGAUUAAAUCUACGAUUCCGUACGUUGGAAUUGUAGUACUUUACGGCUGCGUAUUGGUAAUUUUGGAUUCGGAUGAGCGCUCGAUCUCGGCGCUCGUUAAUGAGAUCGAGAUCGUCGAGGAGCAUUGCGUUGUUGAGCUCCUCUCAUUGGGGAAGUAAUCUUCUUCGAACACCGGGGAACUCUACUUCUUCGGGAAUCAUGCAUUCCAUUCCGUACACCAGAGCGAAAGGGGUUUCUCCUGUUGCUCGCCUCGGGGUGGUACGGUGGGACUAGAGGACUCCCUCGAGUUCGUCGGUCCACCUGCCUUUUUUGGCCUCUAAGCGUUUCUUUAGUCCGUUGAGAAUGGUUUUAUUAAUCGUUUCAGCUUGUCCGUUAAAUUGCGGGUACCUGGGCGUUGAUUUGUUAAGCCGUAUCUUCCAUUUUUUGCAGAAAGCCUCAAACCGGAUCGAUAUAAACUGAGAUCCGUUAUCGAUUACAAUUUCGUAAGGAACUCCAUGCCUACAGAUGAUGUUUCUCCAUACGAAACUUUCGACUUGGACGUCUUUUAUACUUGCGUACGAAUCUGCCUCUACCCAUUUUGAAAAGAAAUUGGUGAGGACUAAAAGGAAACGCUUUUGCUUUGAAUUAUGAAGGGGACCGACGAUGUCCAUGGCCCAGCGCAUAAAAGGAUAGGGCGAUGUGAUGGAGGAGAGAACUUCGGCUGGUUGUCGGAUGGUUGGAGCAUGCCUCUGGCAUUUUUCGCAUUUUCGUGCGAACUUCUCGCAAUCUCCGAUCAUCGUUGGCCAGUAGUAUCCAUGGCGCUUGAUUUUCAUUGCCAGUGAUCUUCCACCGGAAUGAUUGCCGCAGGACCCGAAAUGUACUUCUUCCAUUAUUUUUCUCGCUUUUUCUCCUUCCAGGCACGUCAUGAGUGGUCUGGAGAAUCUCCAUUUGUAAAUUUCGCCGUCUCCUGUUACGUAGCGCGCAGCCUGUGUUCGGACUUUGCGGGCUGCCCAUUUCUCGAUGGCAGGUGUCCGUUGAUAAUGUAGUUUCGAAUUGUCUGCAGCCAUGGGGUAUCGCAGCCGUGAUCAGAUUGCUCUGAUUGCGGUUGUAUCGUAACUUCUUCUUCUUCGUCAUUUUGGCCUUCUAUGAGGUUGACGACAAUUGGUGGUCCGAUGCUCGGAUGUUCGAGGAACUCGACCGGAAUUACCCUUUUAAGUCCUGGGUCAGAACUUGAUGUUAAAGCCGCGAGGGCAUCUGCCUGGACGUUUUCGGAACGGGGAAUUUGCGUAAGGGCAAAACAGUCAAACUUUUGAGCUAGUUUUUGGACCAGUUUGAGGUACACGUCCAUCCGUUCGUCCCUGGUUUCAUACUCUCCGCUGAACUGGCUUGCCACUAACUGGGAAUCGCAGUAAGCGUGGAUGUUUCGUAUUUUCAAGCCGUGAGCCAAAUGCAGUCCUGCGACGAGUACUUCGUAUUCGGCUUCGUUGUUUGAGGCGUGGAAUUCCAGCCUGAAUGAUUGCUCUAAGAUCAAGCCCGUCGGAGAUGUGAGGCGAAUUCCGAUGCCUGAUCCCUGCUUGGACGAGGAUCCGUCGACGUGAAGGAGCCAAGUGGAAUUUGGUUCCUCGUUGGUUAUGGUCUCUGUCGGUAAUUCAACCAAGAAGUCCGCAAGUACUUGUGACUUUGCGCUUGUUCUCGGUCGGGACUCGAUAUCGUACUCGCUCAAUUCUACCGCCCAUUUGGCCAACCGGCCCGAUUGACUCGGGCUAUGCAGAAUCGUUCGUAGGGGAAAGGUCGUGAGGACGACGAUCGUGUGGGAUUGGAAAUAUGGUCUUAAUUUUCGGGCCGAUGUUACGACCGCGCAUGCUAAUUUUUUCAUUAGCGGGUACCUAGAUUCGGCAUCCAGCAAGGUUUUGUUUAUAUACGUUUAGAGAACAUACGGUUCACGAGUCGUUGGUAAGCUGCGCCAGCGUUUUUGAGGCCGAAGAGCAUUACCUUGUAGCAAUAGGUUCCGCGAUCGGUGAUGAACGCAGUCUUCUCGCGAUCGUCAGGGUUCAUCAUAAUUUGGUUGUAACCUGAGAAGGCGUCCAUGAAAGACAGAAGUUCGUUUCCCGCCGUUGCUUCUACUAAUCGAUCGAUGUGUGGCAGGGGGAAACUAUCUUUUGGACAGGCCUUGUUUAGGUCGGUAAAAUCCACGCAAACUCGCCAUUUUCCGUUUUUCUUUUUGACUACUACGGGGUUAGUGAGCCAGUCUGGAUACCUCACUUCUGUUAUUGACCCGACUUUAAGCAAUUUUUCGACCUCGUCGUUGACCGCGGAAGCUCGUUCAGGUCCUAGCUUCCGCCUUUUUUGUUUGACGGGUUUGAAAGUUGGAUCGAUAUUUAAUUCGUGACACGUUAUGUUAAUCUCAAUCCGUGGCAUAUCUUCUGCAACCCAGGCGAAAGUAUUGAGGUUCUUUUUUAGACAGGUUAUGAGCUCUGUCCUCAAAGGCUCGCGGAGAUUGGCUCCGAUUUCGACGCAUCGUUCCAGAGAUGCUUCGUCGAGACAGACUAUGACCACAGGUUCGCAAGUUUGUUCACGUUUUUCCUCUAGGGCCGUGAAGUUACGAGACUGCCAGAAGAGUUCAGCCGAAUCUUGACUUCGCGAACCCUGGUCGGAGACCUUUUUCUCCGUUUUUCUUGGAGUGGUCUCGAGGUCUGGUCUUUUUCGUUUUUGUUCUGCGGCGUAACACACCUGUGAUACUCUUGGGUUUCCCCAUAUUACCUCGACUCCGUUAGGGGUUGGAAACUUGAGGCAAAGAUGGUACGUUGAUGGGAUGGCACGCAUGGUGUUCAACCAUGGCGUUCCCAUGAUAACGUUGUAAGAUGCGGGACGGUCAACGACUAGAAACUCUGUGACUCUUGUCACGGUUCCGGCUUUGACUGCGUGAUUAAUCGACCCGUAGGCCAUGGUCGUUUCUCCCGGAAGUCCCAGUAGUGGGCUAGGGUAUUUCACGAUUUCGGAUUGAUCGAUCCCCAUUUUCUCGAGAGUAUCUUUGAAGAUGAUAUCGGCCGAACUUCCGGUGUCGAUUAGCACCCUAGCGACGUCGAUAUCUCGGAUCGUCAGUUCGAUAACAAGGAGAUCGUUUCGAGGUUUGGCUCGAUCGACCGUUGCUCCCCCCUUGAACGAGAUGACGUUCGCACACGUUGAAUCUUGCAUAUCGUUCCUGAUCGUUGAGUGGCUUUUGCGGGUUAGAUUGAUCCGUAGCAACUGGCGAAACUCAGUUUUCAUUAUUGUGGGAAACGAAAUUCGCACUGUCGAUUUCCAUUUAAAUUAGGAAAGUAGGAGAACCCUAGUUUCCCAGAGGUCCCGGAUAUCUGCUAAUACCACACGCUAAGCAAUCAGAAUACGAGAUAACAAUGAUAAAUUAUAUGAAAUCGUAAAAAGAGAGCAAAGAGAAGUCUUAUUCCGAAUUUGCGUAUGAGCGUUUACAACAAGGUAUAAGCCUGGGCUCGAGAGCUGUCGGUGAGAUUCCUAGUUCUAACAACCCUAAGACGGCUAAACCUAAUUGAGUCGCAGCUCGAAUAACAAAAACGGAAAGUUGCCUAAUUCCCCUAAGUGCUAAGUUUACUCUCAGAAAAGUCCCUCCACGCCUCUCGCCUAGGAUUCCUUAUAUACUGGCUCCAAGGUCGGUUUACGCUUUUCCUCUUCUGCCCUUAAGCCGUCAUAGCAUAAAAAUGGGGAUAUUCCAUUUUUUCCGAUCUUCGUAAUUAUCCACUAAAUUUCGUAUUUAUCCGCGGAAACUUGACACUUAUCUUUCCGAACCAAGCGUAAACCGUCAUGCGGCUUACGGGCUAUUGGUUAAGAAAUCGUAAGUUGGGCCUCGAGUCACGUCUUAGGUCCCUUUGGGCCAUCUUCUGACUCGAAGCGUUUAUUACGGCUUUUCUCGAUAAAGAACGAACUUUCCGCGGUUUUUACGGUUAAGUUUGAUCGAUAACUUAGAAUGGCGGGGAAUCGUGAAAUGGGUUCGCUACGGUCUUCGGGAGAAUGCCUGGACUAAUGUCGUAUCGACGUUUUGGAAGAGCUCGGUCGCUACGUAGCGAGCGAGCGCUCGGUUGCUACGUAGCGAGCGAGCGCUCGGUUGCUACGUAGCGACCGAGCUCCGGCUCGAGAUCAGUCGCUACGUAGCGGCCGAGCGGAAUGGAUGUUCGGUCGCUACGUUGCGACCAAACCUUGGCUCGAACUCGGUCGCUUCGUAGCGACCGAGCGGAGCACGUGUUCGGUCACUGCGUAGCGAUUCUUUUCGAGCUCUUGUCCGAUGACUCGCGUUUCCUCCGCAAAGCUUUUCUUAAAGAAGAAUCUAUUUCGAAAAAGUAUUUGUCGAAGAAGAUUUCUACGUUUUCUUUUCGGAGAUUUGGACGUUAACUUCGUCGCAACCGUUUUCGACCCCAACAAUUUCUUUGAUGAAGCGCGUGCUGAAGACUUAAGAAGCAAGAUCGCUACUUUCUCUCAGGGGCCUGCAGAAUCACUCAGAGGCUCUUGGAUCAGAUUCAAGUCUUAUCAGAGAGACUGUCCACACCAUGGAUUCAAUGAAGUACAACUGCUCAGUACUUUUUAUAGAGGCAUCGCUGUGCAGUACCAGAUGGCUCUUGAUGCUUCCAGCAAUGGAAACUUCAACACCAGGAAUCCAGAGGAGGCAGUAAAGGUUAUUGAAAAUCUAGGAUCUAGCAACAGCACCAAGAACACUGAUUUUGAGAGGAAAAUAUUUGCCACCAUCCUUGGGAAUGAGCAGAUGGAUGAGGUGAAGGAAAAGCUGAAUAGUGUUCACAAACUUCUCAGGAAGCAGGUUUGCUUGGUUGAAGAUGCAGAAUCUGUAGACACAGAGGGUAGAGCAAAGGAAGAAGAAGAGGUGAACUACAUUGGUGGAACUGGAUUCUAAGGUUCUGGCAACCAGGGUGGAAACAGAAAUUCCUAUGGAAAUAUGGGUAAUUUCAACCAGAGUUCGCAGUACCAGAAACCCUACAGCAACAACAGGAAUUAUGGAAAUUCCUACUACCAGAAGCCAUCGCCGCCUAUUCAAGAGAGCAAGAUUGAAGAGAUGUUUGAUAGGGUUCUUGAGGCACAACAGCGAAUGACAGUGGACUUCAAUAGGAAGAUUGAUUUUGUCUACACCAACCUGAACACAAAGUUUGAAACUUUGAGCACCCAUGUGAAGAAGCUGGAGAUGCAGGUUGUUCAGACAGAUGAUGCUGUUAAGAGGCAGGAAGCCUUGACAAGAGGGGUAGGGGAUGAUGUGAUGAAACACCUCAUGAAUGCCAUCAUUGAGGAUGAUUUUUGGCAAGUGGUGAAGGAAUAGAAGCUGCAAGAAGGAGAUUUCGAAGUAGAAAGUCUGAUGAGUUUCGGCGGAUCGCAUUGGUGUCGAUCGACGUCAGACUUCGAACAUCGAUCGACACACACCAGUCCAAAUCGAUCGACAGGAUCUCCAGAGCAUCGACCGAUGACACCAACGGAGUCAACCGCAUCUUGCAAUGCCGUGAGGAUUCUAACUCACGAGGAGUUCGCAGCAAAACACCCACAUCCGCCCAACCCUGAUAACGUCAUAAUCGCUCGACGUGAUGUUACCCCCAUCGAUCGACAACAAGAUGUCGACAACGAUCGACAACCUCCAGCGCCUAUCAAUCGACGAACACCUAUCACCUACCGAGUGCAGAUGCCAAAGAUAGAUGUUGCAUGUCUUAAUGCACUCAGGCCCAAACCCAAACCCAAACCUUCAAAAAACCCACCAGAGACCGUCAGGACACCUUCAGAUGAUGGAGAAGAUCGUAUCGAUGAGGACAGGGUUCCUACUGGAAGAACCUUAAGGAGAAGAAAGGAAAAAGUGGCGAAACAUCUGAAGAGGAGGGCUAAUGAAAAGAAAAAUGAAAAUUUCCGAAAGAGAGUCUUCAGGAUUCCUCUGCAUAAGCCAUUCGAAGAGGAUUAUUAUACCCACAGAUUGUGGAUGUUCUUCAGAGAAACUAGAGAGAAAGAAGAAGACAUCAAGAGAAUGUUCUGUGAAGCUAGAGAAAAGAUGCGGAUGAGGAUUACAUUGAAGAAGAAGAGUGAUCCUGUGCAAUUUGCAAUACCAUGCACGGUGAAGGGUAUUGAAUUUCCACAUGCCUUGUGCGACACAGGAGCAUCAGUCAGCAUCCUACCUAGGGUUAUGGCACACCAUCUGGGUCUGUAGGUCGAGCCUUCGCAUGAAUUGUUCACUUUUGUGGAUUGUUCCCAGAGGAACUCAGGAGGAAUUGUGAGAGACCUAGAGGUACAGAUUGGUAAUGCCCUAGUUCCAGUUGAUUUUUGUGUCUUCGACAUCAAGCUAAACUAGAACUCUUCUCUACUACUUGGGAGAGCUUUCUUGUCAACAGUGGGAGCAGUGUGCAACUUGCAAACCAACCAGUUGUGUCUAACACUCAUCGAUCCUAAUACCCACUACGACCCCAUUUCAGCCAAGAAGCCACAGACGUCCUCCAGGAGAAUCAAUGAUCCAGGAAUCAUUGCAGGUUGCCACUGUGGAGCCGAGUAUGAGACGAACUACUCAGCGUCGAUCGAAGUUCACGGUGCAACAUCGAUCGAUAGUACCCACAGAAAAUCGACCGAUACAUACAAGGAAGAAUCGGUCAAAACUUGUCCAGAUGACUGGGGAAAUGACUACUAAAAUUCCAUCAUGGCAGUAAACGAUGCACCACCUAAGACCCCCGAUGAUCUGUAUUAUGAAGAAUACAGAAAGAAAAGAAUUCUGGUCUACAAAUUUCGCCCUCUACGACCAGAGAUUCAAGCACAAAUGGAAACAGAUUCACUUCUUGCAGAGAGGCCUGUGGAAAGGGAACUCGUUUCAGCCGAAUCAGUGAAGCAGACAGACAUGCAGCGAUCGACGGAGAGAUUCAAGAAUCGAUCGAUAGGGAGAAUCGCCCAUCGAACAACAUCAAUCCUGCGACAUCGAUCGACGUUGACGUCCAACCAUCGGUCGACAGACAGCCAGAAUUCGGCAGAAGAGCCUUUGAUUUCCACGGCACCCAAAGAUUUUACUGGGAAGAGAAGGAUCAGUAUGGAGUCUACAGAGAUGAUCGGGGAUACGCCAGAGAUCUAGAUGGAAACACCAUUCGUAUUCACAACAUGGAUAUCAAAAGAGUUCUGGAGAGAGCUUCGAGAGAUGAGCCAAGCUACAUAUGUCUUCCUGAACAUGCUAGCUCAUUCACACAGACAAAGCUGGUACCAAAGAUCUACACCAAGGAUGAGAUCAAUGAGAUGUUCGAUGGAGUCUGUAGAGAACAAGAGAAGAACAAAGAAGCUUUCCAGAUGAAACUUGAUGGUGUUUACUAUCCAUUGAAUGAUAGUAUCAAUUGGCUAACUACUUUCAUGGAGGAGAUGAAGCAAGACAUAGCCACAAUUCAACAUGCUAUCGAUUGCUCGAUAAUCAUCGAUCGACAGAGAUCAACAUACAUCGAUCGACGUUCGUCAACGCACAUCGAUCGACAACCAGAUGCCAACAUCGGUCGACGACAAUCCACCACGCCCACAUACGAUGAAGUCUCAACAAAAUUUUCACACUAGGGAAGAAAUAUAUCAGUUGGUAGAAGGGAUCUAUAGAGCUCUGGAAACUACAAAAGAUAGGCUUGAUGGGAGAUGUGAUGACAUCUAUUUCCCAAUGGAUCUUAACAUUAGUGCUUUGACUUCCAAAAUUGAAGCUAUACAAGGGGAAUUGGUGGAGAUUCAGAGUUACAUUCCCCGUCGACCAGAAACAUCGUUAUCGAUCGACAAACGCUACAACAGAUCAACCGACAUUCAUCAUCGAACAUCGGUCAACGACGCUACAAACCAAGGUCGGCUAGUACCAAAGAUGACAUCAGGCAUGUCCGACACACAUUACCAUGGAGAGGAGAUCUCAGCUGACACUUACGCCACACUUAGAAAACAUCAGUUCAACCUUGAGAGUUUUGAAGAUGAUUGUAGAGAAUAGAAAACACAACUGCAACAAUGAAGGAAAAAUGGCACAGAGGGGAUGAAGCAAUGAGAGACUUCAGUGGUACAUGGUUCAACAAUCGCAGAGAAGAGAUGGACACUUGUUUUCCAACAAGUUCCAGCUUUCAACACUACCAGCCAAAUCACCUCCAAAGUCAACCUAAAUGACUAUAACAAAGCGCCGAGUGGGAGGCAACCCACUAUUAGGUAAUAUUUCUUUAGUUUUUAUUGAUAUAUUAUUUAUGUUGGUUUUUAAUUAUUGCAGGUCAUAAAAAAAAACACAAAAAGAGACCUGAGUAGACGAUUUGCCGUGAGUAUCGACCGACGAGAAGCUGUCGACAUCGAUCGACAUUGCCUAACCUGCCGCGACCGAUAUCAACAUCCUUACAUCGGUCGACAUCCAUUCCGGUCUGGUAUAUCGUUCUAACUUGUUACAUUGAGUCCGAUUUAGUUAUCACCAUAACUCCAACUGAAUUUACACUGGGGACAGCGUAGUUUAAGUCUGGGGGGGAGGUUUACAGAUAGUAAUUUAUUUAUGAGUCUUAUUAAAACGUUUUUCAAAAAGUUUUAUUGAGUCAAGAAGGGGAUAAUGAACUAAUAGAUUUUCGCUUGUUAUCUAACCACUUUUUAGCACCAUUCUAGACUUACUGAUUGCAGAUAGUACUAAAGAUACUAAAGUGGAUCAACCUGUCAACUCUUUACACUUGCUGAGAUUGUUUGAAGGAACCAAAGCUGACCUCCAACACUAAACUUGACACAAUUGCUUGUCUUGGGGCUUGGUAUGCAUGAGAUCGGAUUCUUCAAACAAGUCUGGAAGGUAAAUUCUUGUGUAGAUAGAUUAAUCACCCUUUCUCUCUCUAUUUUCGAAAAAAAAAAAUUAUUAUUAUUAUAUAUAUAUCUAUUAGAGAUUCAUUAGGAAGGAAUUCGAACAUGACUUGGUGGCUACAACCAUUAAGGCUUGCUUCAUAAGAAUUCUAUAGGUAAAGGAUUAGAACAUGACUUGGUGGCUACAACCAUUAAGGCUUGCUUCACAAAUAAUCCUAGGAUAUAGGUAAAAAAGAAGUGAACANNNNNNNNNNNNNNNNNNNNNNNNNNNNNNNNNNNNNNNNNNNNNNNNNNNNNNNNNNNNNNNNNNNNNNNNNNNNNNNNNNNNNNNNNNNNNNNNNNNNNNNNNNNNNNNNNNNNNNNNNNNNNNNNNNNNNNNNNNNNNNNNNNNNNNNNNNNNNNNNNNNNNNNNNNNNNNNNNNNNNNNNNNNNNNNNNNNNNNNNNNNNNNNNNNNNNNNNNNNNNNNNNNNNNNNNNNNNNNNNNNNNNNNNNNNNNNNNNNNNNNNNNNNNNNNNNNNNNNNNNNNNNNNNNNNNNNNNNNNNNNNNNNNNNNNNNNNNNNNNNNNNNNNNNNNNNNNNNNNNNNNNNNNNNNNNNNNNNNNNNNNNNNNNNNNNNNNNNNNNNNNNNNNNNNNNNNNNNNNNNNNNNNNNNNNNNNNNNNNNNNNNNNNNNNNNNNNNNNNNNNNNNNNNNNNNNNNNNNNNNNNNNNNNNNNNNNNNNNNNNNNNNNNNNNNNNNNNNNNNNNNNNNNNNNNNNNNNNNNNNNNNNNNNNNNNNNNNNNNNNNNNNNNNNNNNNNNNNNNNNNNNNNNNNNNNNNNNNNNNNNNNNNNNNNNNNNNNNNNNNNNNNNNNNNNNNNNNNNNNNNNNNNNNNNNNNNNNNNNNNNNNNNNNNNNNNNNNNNNNNNNNNNNNNNNNNNNNNNNNNNNNNNNNNNNNNNNNNNNNNNNNNNNNNNNNNNNNNNNNNNNNNNNNNNNNNNNNNNNNNNNNNNNNNNNNNNNNNNNNNNNNNNNNNNNNNNNNNNNNNNNNNNNNNGAAGAGAAGCUAACAUCGGUCGACAACGAUGUAGAAAGUUUGAUGAGUUUCGGCGGAUCGCAUUGGUGUUGAUCGACGCCAGACUUCGAACAUCGAUCGACGUCGGCCAGUCCAAAUCGAUUGACAGGAUCUCCAGAGCAUCGACCGAUGACACCAACGGAGUCAACCGCAUCUUGCAAUGCCGUGAGGAUUCUAACUCACGAGGAGUUCGCAGCAAAACACCCACAUCCGCCCAACCCUGAUAACGUCAUAAUCGCUCGACGUGAUGUUACCCCCAUCGAUCGACAACAAGAUGUCGACAACGAUCGACAACCUCCAGCGCCUAUCAAUCGACGAACACCUAUCACCUACCGAGUGCAGAUGCCAAAGAUAGAUGUUGCAUGUCUUAAUGCACUCAGGCCCAAACCCAAACCCAAACCUUCAAAAAACCCACCAGAGACCGUCAGGACACCUUCAGAUGAUGGAGAAGAUCGUAUCGAUGAGGACAGGGUUCCUACUGGAAGAACCUUAAGGAGAAGAAAGGAAAAAGUGGCGAAACAUCUGAAGAGGAGGGCUAAUGAAAAGAAAAAUGAAAAUUUCCGAAAGAGAGUCUUCAGGAUUCCUCUGCAUAAGCCAUUCGAAGAGGAUUAUUAUACCCACAGAUUGUGGAUGUUCUUCAGAGAAACUAGAGAGAAAGAAGAAGACAUCAAGAGAAUGUUCUGUGAAGCUAGAGAAAAGAUGCGGAUGAGGAUUACAUUGAAGAAGAAGAGUGAUCCUGUGCAAUUUGCAAUACCAUGCACGGUGAAGGGUAUUGAAUUUCCACAUGCCUUGUGCGACACAGGAGCAUCAGUCAGCAUCCUACCUAGGGUUAUGGCACACCAUCUGGGUCUGUAGGUCGAGCCUUCGCAUGAAUUGUUCACUUUUGUGGAUUGUUCCCAGAGGAACUCAGGAGGAAUUGUGAGAGACCUAGAGGUACAGAUUGGUAAUGCCCUAGUUCCAGUUGAUUUUUGUGUCUUCGACAUCAAGCUAAACUAGAACUCUUCUCUACUACUUGGGAGAGCUUUCUUGUCAACAGUGGGAGCAGUGUGCAACUUGCAAACCAACCAGUUGUGUCUAACACUCAUCGAUCCUAAUACCCACUACGACCCCAUUUCAGCCAAGAAGCCACAGACGUCCUCCAGGAGAAUCAAUGAUCCAGGAAUCAUUGCAGGUUGCCACUGUGGAGCCGAGUAUGAGACGAACUACUCAGCGUCGAUCGAAGUUCACGGUGCAACAUCGAUCGAUAGUACCCACAGAAAAUCGACCGAUACAUACAAGGAAGAAUCGGUCAAAACUUGUCCAGAUGACUGGGGAAAUGACUACUAAAAUUCCAUCAUGGCAGUAAACGAUGCACCACCUAAGACCCCCGAUGAUCUGUAUUAUGAAGAAUACAGAAAGAAAAGAAUUCUGGUCUACAAAUUUCGCCCUCUACGACCAGAGAUUCAAGCACAAAUGGAAACAGAUUCACUUCUUGCAGAGAGGCCUGUGGAAAGGGAACUCGUUUCAGCCGAAUCAGUGAAGCAGACAGACAUGCAGCGAUCGACGGAGAGAUUCAAGAAUCGAUCGAUAGGGAGAAUCGCCCAUCGAACAACAUCAAUCCUGCGACAUCGAUCGACGUUGACGUCCAACCAUCGGUCGACAGACAGCCAGAAUUCGGCAGAAGAGCCUUUGAUUUCCACGGCACCCAAAGAUUUUACUGGGAAGAGAAGGAUCAGUAUGGAGUCUACAGAGAUGAUCGGGGAUACGCCAGAGAUCUAGAUGGAAACACCAUUCGUAUUCACAACAUGGAUAUCAAAAGAGUUCUGGAGAGAGCUUCGAGAGAUGAGCCAAGCUACAUAUGUCUUCCUGAACAUGCUAGCUCAUUCACACAGACAAAGCUGGUACCAAAGAUCUACACCAAGGAUGAGAUCAAUGAGAUGUUCGAUGGAGUCUGUAGAGAACAAGAGAAGAACAAAGAAGCUUUCCAGAUGAAACUUGAUGGUGUUUACUAUCCAUUGAAUGAUAGUAUCAAUUGGCUAACUACUUUCAUGGAGGAGAUGAAGCAAGACAUAGCCACAAUUCAACAUGCUAUCGAUUGCUCGAUAAUCAUCGAUCGACAGAGAUCAACAUACAUCGAUCGACGUUCGUCAACGCACAUCGAUCGACAACCAGAUGCCAACAUCGGUCGACGACAAUCCACCACGCCCACAUACGAUGAAGUCUCAACAAAAUUUUCACACUAGGGAAGAAAUAUAUCAGUUGGUAGAAGGGAUCUAUAGAGCUCUGGAAACUACAAAAGAUAGGCUUGAUGGGAGAUGUGAUGACAUCUAUUUCCCAAUGGAUCUUAACAUUAGUGCUUUGACUUCCAAAAUUGAAGCUAUACAAGGGGAAUUGGUGGAGAUUCAGAGUUACAUUCCCCGUCGACCAGAAACAUCGUUAUCGAUCGACAAACGCUACAACAGAUCAACCGACAUUCAUCAUCGAACAUCGGUCAACGACGCUACAAACCAAGGUCGGCUAGUACCAAAGAUGACAUCAGGCAUGUCCGACACACAUUACCAUGGAGAGGAGAUCUCAGCUGACACUUACGCCACACUUAGAAAACAUCAGUUCAACCUUGAGAGUUUUGAAGAUGAUUGUAGAGAAUAGAAAACACAACUGCAACAAUGAAGGAAAAAUGGCACAGAGGGGAUGAAGCAAUGAGAGACUUCAGUGGUACAUGGUUCAACAAUCGCAGAGAAGAGAUGGACACUUGUUUUCCAACAAGUUCCAGCUUUCAACACUACCAGCCAAAUCACCUCCAAAGUCAACCUAAAUGACUAUAACAAAGCGCCGAGUGGGAGGCAACCCACUAUUAGGUAAUAUUUCUUUAGUUUUUAUUGAUAUAUUAUUUAUGUUGGUUUUUAAUUAUUGCAGGUCAUAAAAAAAAACACAAAAAGAGACCUGAGUAGACGAUUUGCCGUGAGUAUCGACCGACGAGAAGCUGUCGACAUCGAUCGACAUUGCCUAACCUGCCGCGACCGAUAUCAACAUCCUUACAUCGGUCGACAUCCAUUCCGGUCUGGUAUAUCGUUCUAACUUGUUACAUUGAGUCCGAUUUAGUUAUCACCAUAACUCCAACUGAAUUUACACUGGGGACAGCGUAGUUUAAGUCUGGGGGGGAGGUUUACAGAUAGUAAUUUAUUUAUGAGUCUUAUUAAAACGUUUUUCAAAAAGUUUUAUUGAGUCAAGAAGGGGAUAAUGAACUAAUAGAUUUUCGCUUGUUAUCUAACCACUUUUUAGCACCAUUCUAGACUUACUGAUUGCAGAUAGUACUAAAGAUACUAAAGUGGAUCAACCUGUCAACUCUUUACACUUGCUGAGAUUGUUUGAAGGAACCAAAGCUGACCUCCAACACUAAACUUGACACAAUUGCUUGUCUUGGGGCUUGGUAUGCAUGAGAUCGGAUUCUUCAAACAAGUCUGGAAGGUAAAUUCUUGUGUAGAUAGAUUAAUCACCCUUUCUCUCUCUAUUUUCGAAAAAAAAAAAUUAUUAUUAUUAUAUAUAUAUCUAUUAGAGAUUCAUUAGGAAGGAAUUCGAACAUGACUUGGUGGCUACAACCAUUAAGGCUUGCUUCAUAAGAAUUCUAUAGGUAAAGGAUUAGAACAUGACUUGGUGGCUACAACCAUUAAGGCUUGCUUCACAAAUAAUCCUAGGAUAUAGGUCAAAAAGAAGUGAACAGGACUUGGAGGCAACCACCAUUAAGACUUGAUUCAUGGAAGUCUAUCCAAUCUUGGUCAAUGAUUUUGCUAAUAUAAGCAGAUUUUGACUAAGAGAGAAAAUUAGUAGAGAGAGAGUAUAAGAACUAAUGUUUACCUGCAGGUCUAGAUACUUGUUUGAAAGUCCUUACAUCUUGUGAUCGAUACCCCCAAGCUAAAGCCUACACUUUUAUUUAUGCUAAGAAAUGAGGUUGGUAGAGGGGAAUGUCAGACAAGAUUUGCUAAGUUGUUGGCUAGAUGAAUUUGGUUGUUAAGCUAGGAUAUGGUAUAAAGUGCUUUUGUGAUUAUGACUUCUUAGAUGUGGAUUGCAAUAUUGUAGAGGUUAUGAUUCUAAGUUUUAAAUCAUCUGAGUCCCUGCUGUUUUCAAACCUCUUUCAGAGAGACUGCAUGUUUAUUUUGCUUGAGGACAAGCAAAAUGGUAAGUCUAGGGGAGUUGAUAGACUAUGGUUUUGAUCCAUUUUCAUCCAUGGUUUAUAGAUGUUUAUACUAAUAAUUUUUAUAUUAUAAAGUCUAUUUAUUAUAUUUAUAAGAUGAUGAGUGAUUUGGAGAUAAGUGAUGAUUUUGGAGCAUUUUGUAGAUAUUUGGAGCAAGCACGUGAGAUGACCAUCUAGCUCGACCAUCGGUCGAUAAUGGAGAGGAAUAAUCGAUCGAUGUUCAUAUCUUGACAUCGAUCGACAGCGAAGCGCGCAGAAAGCCCGUUUGGUCACAGCCGACUUGAAGCCCAAGUCUUCACCAAUUUACAAGAUUACCCCUAAUAAGUUUUAACCUAAUUAUAUAAGCUCUGCCACCAUGUUAGAGGCAAAGAGUGCUUUUCUUGUUUUAUUAUUUUCACAGCAAGGUUUUCUAGGAUUUUGAUAGACUGGAGAGAAGAUCCAAAAUUAUAAUUUGUGAUUGGAACUCCAUUAAUAUCUAUUUACUAUUCUAAUGAAGUUUUCUUACCUAACUGUUGUUAUGAAUUGCUUAGCCAUGUCUGAGUAGUUCCAUUGUUAGAUUUUAGGGUUUAAAUAGGUUAUGAGGGAUUAGCCCCAACUAUAGAUUGCUGAGUUGUGGUAAUUGUCAUUAGGAUUGUUCAUUAAUGCAUGUCUCUAGAUUACCUACCUAGAACUUGCCCUAGGAUUGAUAGAUAAAAGCGAGAGCUUCAUUCUCAUCCUGAAAACAUUCUAACUGAGCUAAGUUUCUUGCUAUGAGUAAGGCGAGAGCUGAUCUAGUGAGCUUAGUAAGCUAUCAUUAAACCCGCGCAUAAAGCUUAACUAGAAGCGCGUCGAUCGAUAUCAUUAUUGAAUAAUCGAUCGACAGAGCGAAAGGUGAAUCGAUCGAUAUCUCUAUAGGAUCAUCGAUCGACACUUUCUAAUUGAUCGAUAUACGAUAGUUGAGAUCAUUAGAUCUAGUUAAUAGACAAGUCUAAACAUGCGAAAGCUGAUAGACUUGUUGACUAAGUAGUUGAGCUUUACAUUAUCAUGCAUGCAACUCAUUAGGCAUCUGUAGGAUUAUAAUCCCAAGUUUCCUAAAUAAAAACUCUAAGUCUAACUAUUUCUUUUUAAGCACCAAAAUCUCAACCAAUCUAUUGAAUAAACACUUGUUCAAUAUAAAACUGCAAUUUACAUUUAAAUUUCUAAAACCAUCUUGCUUAACAAAUCAUAUUAGAUUUCUUAGGUUCCCUAGCUCCCUGUGAAUUUGAUCCCUAAGUAGUACAACUCGACCUCUUAUUUGAGAGAGUAUAAAUCACUUCUCAGGGUAAUUUGAGUGGUAUCAACUGUUUGGUGUCUUGGGAUCAUUAUAUUUUAUUUCGGUUUUAAUUAACUUUUCGAUUUAAUAUAUUUUGUUUUAACUUAUAAAAUCGUUUUAUUUGGAAAUUAUCUGAUUAAAAAGUUUGACAUUUUAUUCGAUUUUAUAAAUCGGUUUAAGUCAAUAUUUUUGGUUAGUAGCAUGCUGUUCUCGAGAGAAGAGGAAACGGGUGUUACACUAUUAGUCACAGACACGAUUGCUCAGGAAAGUAAAAAAGACUUGUUUAACAUUAUUUAUUUUUAAUAUUUGCAUUACUUAUAAAUGAUGUAAAAUAAUUGUACAUCACUUAUAUGAAUGACUCUGAAAGUGAUGAUGCAAAUAAUUUAUAUCAUUUUAUUAAGAACUGAUUGCAAAAAUAUCAAAUAUUCACAUCAAUUACUAUAAAUGAUUGCAAUAUGUAUCAAUUGUAAAAAAUGAUAUUAACAUUUUGGUCAUGUUUUGUAAAUGAUGUAAGUUUGGUAUCGAUUAAAAUAACUGACUUUAAUUUUUGUAUCAUUUUACAAUAACUGAUGUAAAACAAAAAUUCUUUUUAAUAAUUUUACAAUUUAAAUUUGAUUUUUAAUCAUUUGUAAAUUUGAUGAUAAUUUUUCGUCCAUAAAUAAAUAAUUAAAAUUACUUUUCCAUAAACUAUUUCUUUUACAUUGAAUGUACAAUCUGGAGAACAGAAAAGUUUAAAAAUAACAGAAAAAUAAUAUGAAUUCAGAGAAAAAGUUUGUAAGACAAAUAAAAAGACUUCUUCUUUAUUUUCAUCUUCAAUCUUCCUUGAUGUAUAAAGCUCAUGAAGCUGAAUCGAUUUAGUAGUGAAAAAUUCUCCUUCAGUUUUCUUUUAUAAACUCCCACUCUUCCAGAUUUAAAGAGAUUCUUCAUGUCCCAUCGAAGAAAAUGAAUUCUAACAACAACAAAAUUAUUGUUAAACCUUACACAGAAAAAAAUAAAUUACAGUUUUCCAAGAAAAAAAAAUAGAAGAGGAACAAAAAAAACAUUACCUUUCCAGAAUUUCUCAUCAGAUUCGUUCAGAGUAGAAGACCUUAGGUUACUUUCAAAUCAUGCAAGCAGAGAUACAAUCACCGUCAUCAUGAUUCAUAAGAAAAACGCUUGAUUCUUGUUGGUUUUUCCCAUAAGUCAAAUAGCGUAGAACAACACAGUUUUAAACUGAUAAAAGUUGAAGAAACAGAGAGGAAGAAGACCAUAAAAACGAUAAUCUUGAUAGAGAAUAAUAUGCUUUAUUAAAGAUAAAACAGUUAUAGAAGAUCGUGGGCAACUAAAACUAAAAUCACAAAAUAAUUAAAGCCCCAAAAAUAGAAACAAUAUUACGUAAAGUUAGGCUGAUUUUUUAAAAUAAGUUUUCUGCUUACAAAAAUGUAUUAAAUGAUGCAAGUUAAAUAAAUAUAACGUCAUUUUAUUAAGUUAAUAGAAAAGACAAAUAUAGUUACAUGUAUUUUCGUUAGUAUCAAUUUAUUAUUGAUGUAAGUUUUGUAUCCUUUUAAUAAAUGAUGUUAACCUAAAAAAUAAAUGUAUAAAUUAUAUAAUUGAUAUAAACUUUUAUAAUAAUAUCAAUUAUGGUAAAGUGAUUCAAACUGAUAAAAAUUAUAUCAUUUUAUUGAAAUGAUGUUAAAUUAAUUAAUAAUAACAUCAAUUAUUAUAACUGAUUUUAAAUUAUGUAUAUUUGUCUCACUUAUAAAUAAGUAAUUUAAAAUAAUAUCAUUUAUUUUUGUGAUUCAAGUUAAGUGAUACAAUUCAUACUUUUUUUUUCAGUAACAUACUAUAUAUUAACAGGCAUACCAUCCUUCCAAAGGAAGAGGACAAUGAGAAAGUGAAUGGUUGGUAUCUCCACAGUUGUAACACAGUUUCUUCUCGAAGCUGCUCUCUUCGUUUUGGUCGGGGCAGUUUUUAAGACUAUGCCCUCGCCUUCUACAUUGCAAGCAUAUCUACAGCAAACAUUAAAAACAUUUACUAUUACCUUCCAGUAACCACCAGGUAAAGCGAUCAUUCAAGUAUCUGUCAUUCAGCUUUUUUUUUUUUUUGCCCCAGAGUCAAACCAUCAAGAGAGGUACAAAUGACAGAACAAACUUUCACAUGAAAUUAGCCUUUGAUUAAUUCAGACAGAACCUUUGACUAAUUCAGACAGAAUCUACUCGCUCAUACAUUGCUUCUAACUAAACCAUCGGAGCUGAAGUUAAAAACCAAAGUGAACUCAGCAAACCUUGUUUCUUUCCCACUCAGACUUUUCAGGGCAUGCAGAGCUUACCGAUAUGGGUUCUUUGGCUCACCAUUGUCGACUACUGUUUCCAAUUGAUUACACCGGCAGCAAUAUAGUGAAGAGGAAGAAAGACGCAGCGAGGAAGAGGCUUUGUUCUAUAUUUUUAAUUGAGCCCACAAAACAAUUCUCAUACUUGGGGCUAGGGGUGGUUCUGCUAGAGUAUGGUACAUAAAUGAAUAAUCUGUUUUGAGUAUUAUUAUCUUGGUAUCAAUAAGCUCAAACUCAUUACUAGUAUAUAAUACGAUAUUACAAGUAUAAAUUCACCAGAUCGUGCACAACUCUGACUGUCUCCUUAUGCAUCGUGGUGUGUUUUAUGAAAUACUCCCUCCGCUCCUAAAAGAUGUAUGUUCUUGAAAAAAAAUUUGUUUCAAAAAGAUACAUUUUUUUAUUUUUUCAAUGUAUGAGUUUAUGAAAAAUUGUAAGUUUCAAAAAAAUUAAUGGUGUUUAUUGAAUUUCUAUUGGCUAAAAGUUAUGAAAAAUUGUUAUUCACAAAAAACAAUGCAUAUUUAAUGAGUUUUCUUAAUAUAUGUGAAAAGUCUAGAAUAUGCAUCUUUUAAAAACAGAGGGAGUACAUAAUAAGCAAACAUUAAACGAUGUAAUAAAACCAUCUAAACACAAAGUUCUUUAUUAUUCUCUUCAGAUCUCUCAUGAGAUAUGGUACGUCUUCUCUCUAUGCUCGCUUGCAUUAAUUAAUAGGACGCAGGUGCGGGCGCGUACGACAUGUGGUCCAUUGAAGUAGCUGGCUCUGGUGCGGGCGCGUACGGCAUGUAGUCCAUUGAAGUAGCUGGCUCUGGUGCCAUCUUGCCUAACCUGACCGGUCCAACCGGUCCAAGAGUGUCCCUCACAAUUCCCGAGCUUCUAAGUUCCGACAUUGCUCUUCUUGAUUGUCCUUCUUGUGAUUCACAUAGCUUUGGCAAAUAUACACCUAGUAUAAAAAAAAACCGAAAUGUAUUUAGAGAAAAGGUGUAAUUGUAACCGAACAAGUCUAACAACACCGUACCUUCGCCAGCAGCAAGGUUGAAGAAGAGAUCGACGACGUUAGGGCAUUGGGUUAAGCAUUUAACCGAGCAGAGUUUCUGAGUAAACCGGGAUUCCAAUAGUGCGUCCGAGGAUAUACCCAAAGAUUUCCGGUCUAGACCACACGCUUUGAUGCACUCGUCUGAUUCAAUAAUGUUUGUGACCUUGUCUGCUUCUAUCUCCGAGGACCGACACGUGUACCCCUCGAUUCCACUCCUCUUAAUGCUCUGCUCCAAAACGCAGCGUUUACCGGUCGACGAGACCGCAAACGCACACGUGUCUUUGUCCAGCUUCUCGCACUUGACUUCGUUCCCUAAGAAAUUAAUUGCAAUGGUACUUAUUUAUUACAUGCAUAGAACCUCCAUUAAGUGAUCUAUAUAUGAUUGUCGGAUAAAAAGGUGAUCUAUAUUUUUUUGAAUUACCGAUCUAAAUAUGAUUUUUUCGAUUCAAAAUAAACAAAAAUACCUUACUUUUUCUAGAAAUAACAAGAUAUUGUAUGAUAAGAUUAUAUCUAGUUUGUAUGAUUGUAGAUAUCUUCAAUAUGUACAUUUUAAAAAAAGCUAUUAGUAAUUUGCAGGCCAUGAAUCUUUUACCAAGUGUGGUUUGCAAAUAGACGGCAAGGAGAAGCAUAGAAACAACGAAAAAAGUUUUCAUAGCCAUGUUGUGAGGUAGAGAUCACAAAAAGAGAGAUAUUAAAGAAAAAAAUGCUGAUAGAAAAUUUUGCCUAAAAUAAGAGGAGUGUUUCUUCGGGUGAAGUUAUAUGUGUUGGAGCAACAGCCUAUUUAUAGAGCAGGAUAACUCGAUACAUUAAUUCUUUUUUCUUAAUUUGAAAUAUAAAUGACAAUAGUGUUGACAAUGUAGACACUGAAGAGUCUUAACGUGGCAGACACUGAAGAGUCGUAGUUACAUUAAUUGGGUAGUCUAUUUGAUUCAUUACGAAAAGUCGAAAACGUAACAACCUUUUUGAUUAUAUACGUUUGAAUGAGUGUUGAACUUAGGCAUGCACAUUUGGUUAUCGGACCGGGAUCUGGGUAGGAUAUUUCAAAUAUCGGUGUAAUUCGAUAUAGGAAAAUUUGUACAUAUCGGUAAUUCUAAAUCUCGGAUUGAUUCGGUUCGCUACUUGGCGGAUUCGGAUUUUAUCGAGUAUAUCCGAAUGAACCGAAAAAUACCAAACCCGGUUCGGAUUGACUUAUUAUAAUCCAAAUGUAUAGAAGAAUAAUCCAUAUAUCCGAUUAGGGUCUAUUUUUGUAUAUCCAACUGUGUCCAAGAAUAUCCAAAAAUAGCUAAAACUAACAAAAAAUAUCUAAAAUAUCCGAUUUAUCCAAAAAAAUAUAUAUUUAAAAUUAUAACUAUAAUUUUUAAUAUUUGAAUUAUUAUAAGUAUUAAUAUAACUAUAUUUUAUAUAUACUAUUUAUACUUCCGGAUAUUUUCGGAUGCCUGUAAUUUUCGGAUUCGGUUCAGGUUCAGAUCGAUUUUUUGGAUAUAGGAAAUCAUGUACCAUUCAGGUAUCUAUGUCGAAUUGGAUUCGGUUUGUUACCUGAACUUCGAAUCCGGAUAAUUUGUCCAUGUCUAGUUGAACUGUUGAUGCAUAACUUUUACUCUGAAGUCUUACAUAUAUGCGUUUAUGCAUCAUGUUGAAAGUUUUCGUUAAGAUUAAUCUUCCUAAAUAAGGUGUUAUAAGGUAGAUCAAUAAACUUCCAUAAUUGACUGGUUAUGCAAAAUAUUAUACAUCAAGUGAAACUUAAAAUAAAUUAGUUUUUGUUAUGAAUAAACACGAAUUUACCUCAAAAAAACAAAAAAAAAACGAGAAAAUAUUCGUUUUGUGGUAUAUUAAAUAUUUAAAUUAAAUAAUUUACAAUUAUUUACGGAUGUAUUUAUACUAUUUUAAAACUCCGAUAUUUUUUAUUUUAUGAAAACAUCGCUAUCUAAUAAGUGCACUUUUCUAAAUUUUUAAAAUAGUGUACCUUAAGGAACUUUGGUUUUCACUUUUCACACUCCCAUAUGUCGAUCUUGAUCAUGAGUAAAUUUUCUUUACGUCUUACCGGAGCACAUAAAUUUAAAUCAUUCUAGAAUUAACACGUUUCAUGUACAAAAACAAUGGUUAUGACUUAUCGUUGCGACCCGUAUUACCCAUGUAGUUAGAACUGCUAAACUGAAGAUUAAACUAGUUUCUAAGACUUAAUUUAUAACUUUAAACCUGGGGAUCUCUACCUACAAAGAUUUAUAGUAAAUAUUUUGAUGUAUAUAAUUAUUAACUUUAACUAACGGAAACGAAUAUUAUGUAAAUAAGAAAUAUUGCAGUAAUUUGUGUUAAUGCCGUGAUUGUGUUAUUAUUCGAGUACAAAUCCAGAUAAUGCAAACUAUUGAUUGAUAAAACAAAAAAAAAAAGUAUGUUCCAAAAAAUAGUCAUUAAUUAUGCAAAGUUGGAGUAUGCAUUAAAUAUAUUUAUGAAAAAAAAAGUUGAUAGAAAUUUCUAUGUUCAUCUCAAUAGAAAAGUAUUAACGUGGAAAAUAGGUUUGACAAAUAAACAUUCCGUUGUUAAUGGCGAAAAUUAUGCAGUCAAAGUCGAGAUGUGAAACCUUGACUCACUUUUCCUAAAAUCUGGUAUGGAACCAUCUUCCCCUUACGGUCAUAAUUAAUUUGGACUAUUUCGUAUUCUUUAACUAACUUUAAACAUUUAGACUAAGGAAAUAAUACAUCUACAUAACGUUUAUAUAUUAAGUCGUUCAUAAGCUUUAUAUAUCUAUGAUUAACUGAUUUCUAAUUAAGCAUUAAAUUUCUAACCAAUUUGAAUAGUUUAUUUGUUCUAUUAUGUUUAUAAGUUUUUAAUCAAAUAAUAUAAGAUGAUCAUAGUUUCGUAUUAAACAGUUUUAAUAACAAUCUGUCACUAAACUUGUGAUGCUAACUUUAGUUUAUGCAAGUAUUUAAACUGCUCUUUUUAGUUUCCAUUUCACCUCUAUAUAUCUUAAUUACGUAUAAACAUAAGAUUUUGACAAAACAGAUACGCUAAAUAAUUUAUCUAAUUUGUCGUUUAAAUCGUAUUUUCUAAAAACAAACUUUAAACAAAAAGUCUUCUUGGAAGUGAGAUGGAAACCGUAAAUGACGGUAGAGACUUCGAAAGACAGAAACUUUCUUAACACAAGGACAGUCACGAGUCGUCUUUAUUACUCAAGAUAUUUUUAUAUACGAAUAUAUCCAAAAUUCUGUUGUUCAGUAAUAUUUACUAGACGUCAAAUUCACCUGGAAUGUGGUUCCACAUACCGAACUUGUUCCAAAGCGACUUUGUCUGUUUUGAGGUUCUAUGUUUGGGCUAGAGACUGCAUACGACUGUCGUUUGAUAAGUUUUUAUGAACUUAAAAUGGUCCAAAAUUAAUUCGUUUAAAAGAGAAAAAAAAAACAAAACAAAAGCGAGAAAAUAUCUAGCCGACUUCAAAAUAUAUAAUCUAAUAUAUGUAGAAAAGAGAAAGAUUAUGAGGUGUUAUACGCAAAACCCUAAAAUCAGCUACAAAUGUCAAAUACUCUAGGUUUAAGGUUGUUUAAAUCAAUUCUAAUAUUGUUAUGUUCGUUUAAUGUAAUAAUUAAAUACAUUUUCUGACAACCUCUCCUGUAAUCGAUGAGAUAGGUUCUUGAAUCAGUAAUUUUUUACUUAUAACGUAUUUUUACUUAGGAUAAGGAAUCCAAAUUUGACAUUGGUGGUUUUUUUUUCAUCAAAAAAUGUGAACAUUUUUAUCGUUCUGUAAACAGCCAAAUUCAUUGUUACGUAUUCCAUUCAAUCCAUUCAUGAGAUUUAAAAUUCUAUGCGUAUUGGUUCUUUCGAAGUUCGAACAGUUGAAAACUUCCAUGUUCCAUGCUCCAUGCUCCCAACCUAUUCUUUAUUGUAUAAACAGUCCAGUGUAAAGAUAAGAUAAUGCUUAUCCAUUUUGUGAUAUUUAUGUAACUAUUAAAAUAAUAAUUGCUUCACUAGGGGAUAAAAUUAGCCGAUUUACCUUCUCUAUAAAUAUCAUGUUGGCUCAUCAAAUUAAAUAGAUGGACAAGAGUUCACUAGUUUAGUUCCUCUCUCUUUCGUAGAUCACUUCACACACAAUACAUAUAUAUAUUCAACACAUAAACUGAGACCAAAAGUCUUCUACUCUCUCUCGUACACAUCGAACUUCCCUCGCUCUUUAAUAUAUAUAGUUUAUCUUUAUAUUUGUACAACACGUUAUCAGCACGAAACUCUGACCAACUGGGGUUUAUCAAUCCGAAAAUUCUUAAACCAGUCGAGGUAAUGUUUAAAUUUCUAUGUUUCAAUAUACUUAAUUUAUUUAAAAUUUAUUAUUAUUUUGGAGUGAGAGGCUAGGCCUUCUCCUUUUAUUUUCGGGAUGAUAGGCAUUGCCUUUCCCGACUGAUCGUUAUAGUAGGCUAUGCCUUCACGAUCAGAGAAACACGUGUAGGCGUUGCUUCCGUGAAUAAAAAAAAAAUAAUAAUAAAUGUAAAAAAUGGCAGACUAAGACUUUUCGGACCUUGAAAUAAGUAAAAGUCAAAAUGGUAUACCAUGUCUCUUCGGACUUUGAAAAAUGAUUAAUAUGGUAGUUUAAGUCUCCUCGGGACAUGUGGUAGGCUAAGCCUCCAAUUUUAUUUAUGUUCUUUAAAUUUUUGCAAUUUAAAUUUAUACCUUUAAUUUCUGCAUUUAUAUUAUGUAUUUCAAUUUCCGUCUUUAUAUAUAUUAUUAUUCUAUGAAUUCGGUUAUCAUGUCAAAUUUGACAAAUUUCAAAAUAAAUGCCCUUGAUAUUACGGGAAAUAGUUAUAUGACCUGGACAGUGGGUGUAAAGAUGCACCUGAGAGAAAAUGAGCUUUGAUAACUUAUCGAUAUAAUCUAUAUUGGAUGAGAAAAAGAUAAAGCCAUGAUAAUUUACACCACUUUAAUGAUGGUUUAUAAGAUGAGGUGUAUCAUGAGAAAGAUCUAGACGAUCUUUGAAUAAUCAAAUCCUUGAAAGAAAGGAUUCACCAAAUUGUCGGAGUUGAUGUAAAUCCUCCUUUAGAAUUGAAAAGAAAAGAAACUCAUGAUACUAAACCAUCAAGUCGGUCCUUUUUGAAAAGGACGAGGGUGUGGAUGCGGUUGAAACCGCUAUCGCGAUCGUGGAAGAAGACGAGGAAGAAGAUUCCGUCCAUUAGAACUUCCACGAAAAAUGAAAGUGGUCGGGUGAUAAAAGGCAAACAGAAAAGGUUUGCUACAUAUGCGACAAGAAAGAAAAUUGGGUAUGUAAUUGUCGUACGCCAAAUAUUUAGCCGAUCUAUAUCGAGAAUCAAAAAGAAAAAGAGAAAUGAAGUAUAUUAAACUUCGUCUCUUAUGAACCCGAACCAUUUUUUAUAGCUUGAAUACUCAUCUAGGUGAUUCAGAUUUUCUGGUUGGUCCAUAAAAUGAAAAUAAAAUACCGAUGUGAUAUGAAAAUUAUCUUCCUGAAUAAGAUUUUGAGAGUCAGGAUGGAGACAGAUAUACCUGACAGAUUUUGGGUCAUCGUACAUGACUACUAAAGGUAACAAAUAUCUUUCCUCUCUCAAAAGUAUAGUAUCUAGUAAUAUAAAAUUUACUAUUGACUCUAGAAGAGCUUAUGAUGAAAAGACAUGCAUAAGAAAAAGAUGGCAAAAUUAUGAAUGGUAAACCUGAAGUUUAUUGAUAUAUAGCCAUCUCCAAUAAUGUUAUCGACAUUAUUGUGAAAUGUUGAAAAACCAUAAGUUUUUCACAUAUAGCAUGUCAAGAAAAUAAAGGAAACCAUCAUGGGUGAUGCAUCAUCAAACAAGUUCACAAUAUGUGAUUUCUUUAAGAAGACCCCAAAUUAAUAUCUGACUCUAAAGGAUUUGAAACAUAAUUCAUCUCAAAAUGGGAAAACUGAAUAUGUUAUUGGUUCUAGAGUGGGAUUCAGUACGAGAUUUUAGAAAUAGGUUGGUAUCUCCACAGUUGUAACACAGUUUCUUCUCGAAGCUGCUCUCUUCGUUUUGGUCGGGGCAGUUUUUAAGACUAUGCCCUCGCCUUCUACAUUGCAAGCAUAUCUACAGCAAACAUUAAAAACAUUUACUAUUACCUUCCAGUAACCACCAGGUAAAGCGAUCAUUCAAGUAUCUGUCAUUCAGCUUUUUUUUUUUUUUGCCCCAGAGUCAAACCAUCAAGAGAGGUACAAAUGACAGAACAAACUUUCACAUGAAAUUAGCCUUUGAUUAAUUCAGACAGAACCUUUGACUAAUUCAGACAGAAUCUACUCGCUCAUACAUUGCUUCUAACUAAACCAUCGGAGCUGAAGUUAAAAACCAAAGUGAACUCAGCAAACCUUGUUUCUUUCCCACUCAGACUUUUCAGGGCAUGCAGAGCUUACCGAUAUGGGUUCUUUGGCUCACCAUUGUCGACUACUGUUUCCAAUUGAUUACACCGGCAGCAAUAUAGUGAAGAGGAAGAAAGACGCAGCGAGGAAGAGGCUUUGUUCUAUAUUUUUAAUUGAGCCCACAAAACAAUUCUCAUACUUGGGGCUAGGGGUGGUUCUGCUAGAGUAUGGUACAUAAAUGAAUAAUCUGUUUUGAGUAUUAUUAUCUUGGUAUCAAUAAGCUCAAACUCAUUACUAGUAUAUAAUACGAUAUUACAAGUAUAAAUUCACCAGAUCGUGCACAACUCUGACUGUCUCCUUAUGCAUCGUGGUGUGUUUUAUGAAAUACUCCCUCCGCUCCUAAAAGAUGUAUGUUCUUGAAAAAAAAUUUGUUUCAAAAAGAUACAUUUUUUUAUUUUUUCAAUGUAUGAGUUUAUGAAAAAUUGUAAGUUUCAAAAAAAUUAAUGGUGUUUAUUGAAUUUCUAUUGGCUAAAAGUUAUGAAAAAUUGUUAUUCACAAAAAACAAUGCAUAUUUAAUGAGUUUUCUUAAUAUAUGUGAAAAGUCUAGAAUAUGCAUCUUUUAAAAACAGAGGGAGUACAUAAUAAGCAAACAUUAAACGAUGUAAUAAAACCAUCUAAACACAAAGUUCUUUAUUAUUCUCUUCAGAUCUCUCAUGAGAUAUGGUACGUCUUCUCUCUAUGCUCGCUUGCAUUAAUUAAUAGGACGCAGGUGCGGGCGCGUACGACAUGUGGUCCAUUGAAGUAGCUGGCUCUGGUGCGGGCGCGUACGGCAUGUAGUCCAUUGAAGUAGCUGGCUCUGGUGCCAUCUUGCCUAACUUGACCGGUCCAACCGGUCCAAGAGUGUCCCUCACAAUUCCC